AAAUGAAAAAGUUAUUGAUAUUUUAAAUGUAAAGCUUUCUUUAUAAUAAUGAAUAAAUCAGAAUUAAAAAGUAAUUAUUAUAUCUUAACAUUGCUUUUUUGUUUUUAAGAAAAAAAAUAAUUAAAACAACUUUACACUUGUUCCAUGAUUAAAUUGAAUCCAUUAAUGGGUGCUCUAUUAUGAAACAUUAGAAGGACAUAGAUAAAAUAAACUACUCAAAAAGCUCUUAUCUGCCCAAAUAAUCAUCCUUUUCCUGAGCUGGAUCACAGUCUUCUUUUUUUUUUUUUUUAUAGAUUACAUAAUAUAAAAAUGAAUAUGAGAUUAUUGCAUUUGGUGGAAGAUCUUAACUAUAUAUUUUCUUUUUAAUCUGCAAAUCAUAAUUGCUUUACAUAGCUGGAAUUUACUAUUCUAAAAUUAGUUUAGAUUUUAAAAAAUUUUAUAAUCGUUGAAAAUUUUAUUUAUGAAAUUUUUUAAUUAUUGUAGGUUUAAUAUUUAAAUUUAAUAUUAAAUCUCACUGUUAUAAUUUUAUUAUAUUAUCUUAAAAUUUUUACAACCGUUUACGACAGUUAUUUUCAGUGAGAUGUACUGCUAGUAUUGUGUACCUUCACAGUUUGUUUAUCAUGGUGUUAUGGAUAUAAUUUGCAAAGUGAAUGGUUUCUAUUAAUGGUUAUCUACAUUCAGUUACCAUCUCAAAGACGGGAUUAUUUUUCACAGCAAUAGAAAUUUCUUGAAAUAUGUGAGAAACCAUAUUUAUUUUCUAUGGACACUGCAACUGAUGUUGCUCAGAGGUAUAAUACUAUAUUUAGACAUGCAAAAUGGAUCACAACAGUGGAUUAAUUGGCUAGUGUAAUCAUUUUGAUGUCUAAGUUAACAAAUGAAGUGAUAGAGAAUUAGUAAUGAAUAUCAGAGGAUUAAAAACACAUUUAGUUAUUAUCGUUUUCACACUCUUCAAAGAUUCAAUACGAAAAAAUCUAAAUUAUAACAAAUAAAGUUACCAUCGCUUCAUUUAAAACUUAUGAAAUGAGAAUUAUAUUUAAAAAAUAUGGUUAAUGAGAAAAUAAGUCAUGCUAUCUUCAACACAAGUAAAUACGCAAUAUAAUUUCAAAUCGCGUAAUACAUAUAUGACUGAAUUGCACUUAGAUCAAUUUUAUUAUUUUAGUCUUUUGUGGGGGUUUGUUUUAAAUUAAUUUGACAUACUUUAAAAGCUAAAUUUGCACGGCGAUAUUAGGAAGAUAAUUUCUCAAAGACAAUUUAAGAAAUAAUCUUUAAUGAAAUCUAGAUUUCACUAUUUCACUUGAUACCCUUUUUAUAUUGAAUUAUAUCUUCCUAUAUUAGAAUUAUAGUUUUGAGACUAUAAAAACACCCUUAAAGUGGUAGCUACAAAUUAUAAUUGAUUAAUCAAUAAGUUAAAGAAGUUGAUUUAUCUCUACAAUGAGAAUUUAUUUUUAGAACUUUGAUUCUUCUCCAUUAUUUAGCAACUUAUUAAAACUCAACUUUAUGGUGUUCUAAUAUGUAUGUUCUCUAUACUUAGUUAAUUUAUCAAAAAUUUCUCAUAGUAUUUUCUAGUUAGAUUACUUAAUUAUUUAUGUUACUAACCGUAUGGUUAGUUAGGGGUGUAAUAGAAUAACCUUUAGAAAAUAUCUUAGUUUCGUUCUUUGUCAAGUGUGUUCGAAAUUCUUGAUCAUGAGCUAAUCCUAAAUUUCACAUCAGUUAGUAUCAGAGCUUGGCAGUUGAUUAAUUCCUAUUUAUCUAUGUUUAUUUAAAUUAUUAUUUACUUUCAGUUUUAUUAUUUUAUUUUAGCUAUUGAAUCCAUUAUUCAUUUGUUUUAAAAAAAAGCAAAAAAAAAAAAAAAAAAGGAGAGAUAUCAAAGUUUUGUGUUUCAUUCACAAAAUUUCAAAUUGAGUCAAAGUUUUGUAUUUCAUUCGCAAAAUUUUAAAUUGAAUUCAAAGAUUUCAUGAAAUUUAUGGAGAAAAUCAUCUAGAAAGAGACAGAAUGAACCACCAAUAAUGAUAUAGAUCGAUUUAAAAAUAACAAAUAAGAUGAUUCUGAAUCUAAACAUUGUCAUAUAAAAAAAUACCAAGAAGAUGUGGUAGAAAGUACUUUGGUAGAUCAAUUUCAAAAAAUCCAAGUUGUUACUGCAAUUGUUAAAAAGUAUAAGCAAUAUGAAAAUGAUUUUCAAGACAUUGAAAUUAAGCAAAAUUUUGAUAUUGGCUCUAAUUAUGAUUAUUUUAUUCAAAAAAUUCACGAAGUUGAUAUUUCAAUUGCUUUUGACAUUCUUACACAAGAAAAUUUGUAUGGAGAUGAUUCUAUGUAUAUCAAUCCUUCUCUUGUCAUUCUUUUUUAGGAAAGAGGGAAUGAUGCCAGUACGGGAAUAACACGAUUUUUCAAUAAGUUGUGCAUUGAAAUUUUUGCACUUUUUAAAAAUUCAACGUGAAAAGCUCCAAAUAAUGACAAAUCAAUUUUUCAUCGCUUAUUUAAAAGUUUACAAGAUGAGAAUUAUAUUUGAGAAGUAUGGUUAAUGAGAAAACAAGCUACACACUCUAGUAGAGGAACAACACAAUUUCAUAUCGUAUAAUUCAUGUAUGGUCGAAUUGUAUUUAGAUCAAUUUUAUUAUUUUUGAUAUUUUAAUAUUUUAUGGGAUUUAUUCUAAAUUAAUUUGGUCUAUUUUAAAGGCAAAAUUCAUGCAGUCCUAUUAGGAAGAAAAUUUCUCCAAAAUAAUUUAGCAAAAUGAUAUUUAAUAUAAUUUAGAUUUAAUUAUUUCACUUGAUACCCUUCUUAUAUUGGAAUUAUAUAUUCUUAUACUAAAAUUAGUAUUUUGAGAUUAUAAAAAUGUCCUUAAAGUGACAGUCACAAAUUAUGAUUGAUUGAUCAAUAAGAUAAAGGAGUUGAUUUAUCUUCAUAAUGAGAAUUUAUUUUUAGAAUUUUGAUUCUUCUCCAUUGUUUAGCAACUUAUUAAUACUCAAUCUUGUGGUGUUCUAAUAUGAAUUCUCUUCAUACUUAAUUAACUUAUCUAAAAAUUUCUUGUAGUGUUCUCUAAUUGAAAUUGUUUAAUUAUCAAUAUUAUUAAUCACACUAGUUGGUUAGGAGCGUAGUAAAAUAACUUUUAUAAAAUAUUUUAGUCUCAUUCUUUGUAAGUGUAUGUUCGGAGUUCUUGAUCAUGAAUUGAAUAUGAGUUCUACAUCACUUGUCUGAAAUAGGAGUUUGAUGCUUCUUGAGAUAGGAUAGGAGUUGAAUAGGACUAGGAUGUCUCAUUGUUAUGAUUUAUGAAUAUAUCAUUACUUCAUAUAUCUAGCAUAUGAACUAUACCCCUUUUUCUUUUACUAGAAGUUAAUGGACUUCAUUAGAUAAGGUUUAAAGCCCAAAAGUAAAGAUAAAGAAAGAAUAGAAAAUAGCUGCCCAAAGGCCAGUACACAAUAGCCCAUAAGCACACCAACUAAACCUUAGCAGCAAGAGGCGACCCGUAUCUAGCAACCUGAAUCAAGCAAUUCCAUCUCGAUGUUGCCGCAACACCCAAAAGAGGAAGAGUCACAUGAGGAGUUGGUCCUAACCUUGAAGCACCGAUGAAUUGCUUAAAUGCUGCACAUCCAUCCAUGAAAUCAAAAGUCAGUUCACCCAAAAAAAAAAAAAAGAAGCAGGCUUAAGAAGAAUAGAGACAGAAUUGAGGUUUGAACCACCAUCUCUAAGAAAUAGAUCUCCAAGUGUUGUAUUUCUAGAUGCAUGCAACAUCAUGGCCAAACAGACAGAGAAGAGGUGGAGCUCUAGCCGCAGUGGCGGAGCCGGGAGCUCCCCGUUGGUAGGGCACCACCGGCUGCAACUGCACUGCUGCAAUUGCACUGUUGCGGCACCACCGGCUGCGCAGCUGCGGUACCUUCAUCUCCCUUCCAAACAUUUUUCGGUCGCCGGUACGGCACGUCCCUUGCCCUACCUUCCCUCCACCCUUGUCUAGCCGUCUCACUCUCUUUAAAUUAAUAUAAAGAUCUUAUAAUUCGAUAUAUUUUUCUCAUUUUCUUUUAAAAGAUUUAAUUAUAAUAACAUUAUUGGGAAGCAUAAAAUAAGGCAAAAACUUCCAACAUCCGGUGAACUGGAGCCACAACCCAAAACUGCAUGGUGCAAUUGCAGUCUUCCCCAACUUUCACGCUCUCCCUCUCCCUUCUCUCCUCCAUAAAAAAUCACUACUUCCACAACCACCAUUUUCAUUUUUGAACCACCAUUUUCAUGGAAGAAAGCAAACCUAGCAGCACUCCUCCGUCUUCUUCUCCAUCUUCUCUUAAACAAAAGCUUAAACUCAGAUACCCUUUUUUCUUAUCCUCUUCCUUUCGCAGAACCAAUCCCACUGAUUCCUCUUCACCUUCUGUCCCCGAUGCUUCCCAAUCUUCUAAACUCCUCCGCACGACCUCCGCCGGGAUUAAGUCCCGUGCCCACGAUAAGUGUAAGAACUUCAUUUCUCGUAUUGGCCGAAAUGGACAAGCACAACCACAAGAAGCACAAGGGCAUGGGUAUGGUCGCGGCCACCGCCGGCGUCACUCUGUCUCUGCAGAUUUCCGGUAUGAUGCUAUGAGCUACGCUUUGAAUUUUGAUGAAGGCAACGAUGAGAGCCCCGAAAAUGAUUUUCGCUUAAGAAGUUUCUCGUCCAGAUUGCCACAGUCUCCGAAGAGGGAGAUCGAGUGCAGUUGAAGUUAGGUUUUUUAUUAUUAUUUUUUUCUUAUCUGGGUUUGCCAUGAUUACGGUUGGUUAUUUCUGAAUACACACGCAUAUUUAUAUAAAUAUAUAUUCAUUCAUCCACCAAAUUUUCUUAUCAUAAAAUGAAAGAAAAAAAAGGGUAAUUAAUAAUGAACAUGCACACAAUUUAAAUCCUAUAUUAGAGGAAAAUGGAAUCCAGGACAAAGAUUUCUUUCUAUUUCAACACACUUCUUUAUAAUUUUUUUAAUAUUUCAUCCACAAAAGCCUUGUAUAUGUGUAUAAUCACUAAUUUUUCAAUUGAGUCCUUACAAUUUUGUUUAAUAAAUUGUGUCCUUAUAAUAAUCACUAAAUUUUCAAUUAAUAAUCAUGCAUAUCAGUAUAUGUGAAAGAAUUUUUUAUUUGUAAAUUUCAAAUUCACAUAUUUCAUACAUGAUAAAUAACUAAAAAAAUAAUAUUUAUGUACGCUCGUGUUUUACUUAUCUCAUCAUUUGAAAAUUGAGAGAUUUACUAUUUAGUAUCUAGGUAUUACCAUUAAAUUUAUUAAAACGUAUUUAUCUCUUCUCUUCGUUAAUGAAAUAGUUUUUUUAUUCUAUUUUUUUCUGUUAAAAAAAUAAGAGAAAAAAAUUUUAAAAUUCAAUUUACCCUCAAAUAAAUAUUUUAUUUAGUUUUUGGAUAUUAUCAUUAUUAACAAGUCAGUCUUGUAUAACAAAAAAAUAAAUUAUCCCUCUCUUUCACUUUUUUAAAGGAGGACAGAAUAAUUUGAUAUUUUUCUAUACUUUUAAUAGCAUAAAUAGAUAGGAAAACUAUUUUAUUGAUGGAUAAAAAAAUAAAAAAAUUUUAAUAAAUUUUUUAAAAUUAAAAAAUUAACUUAUUAAUAAUAAUAAAAAACUGACUUAUUAAUAAUAAUAAUAUUCAAAAACUAAAUAAUAAAUCUCCUAUAAAAAUUUUGCGAUGAACGGUUUUGCUUGCAUGGUAAAAAUUUGAUAUAAAUAGUCAAUGGCGAAAGAUUCAUUAGUGGAUAUAAAUGAAUGGAUAGUGAGGAGUGAAAUAGAAGAAUUCAUAGUUUUUAUGUGGAAGAAGCCCAUUUCUACAAAAGCCUUGAAAGAAAGAAAAAAGGCUUAACAUCUUAAUUUUCAUUCUAUUAUUUUCAUGACAUUGUAAUUUAAAUCAAAACGUGGUCUUGAUGAAAAUUCUAAAAUUUAAUUAAAUAAGAUAUUUUAAUUCUUAACACUUUAUAUUUUUAUUCAUAGAAUUAUAAAAAUAGAUCACAGUUAAUGGGACCUCAGUCUAAUUAUAGUAAAGGAGAUAAAGUAUCUAGGUUGAAGCUGUAAGGAUCAAGAGAUCUAAGUAAAGUUUUACCACACAAAUUUCAUCAUCAAUUUUUUUAAUAUUUAUUUAUAGAUGAUCAAUGCCUUUUAACAACUUUGAUUUUGUAGUUUCCAUUUUUAAAUAAAAAAGAAAGUUGUUUAAGAAUUGCAGUUGGCAUUGUUAAAUAAACUUUCAUGAGUUUAUCUAUUUAAUUGAGAACCUUAUGGAUAGGUAAGCAUGUUUUAAUAAUGUUAGGAAUGAGUAUUCAGUCUGAAUCCAAUCGAAUAAAUUAAAAAUAAAAUUUUAAUAUUUAUGAAAAUUAAACUGAAUCGAUUUUGGAUAGAAAUCGAUAUGAAUCGAUUUAAUUUAAUUCAGUUCUAUUUGAUCAGUUGAACUUUUUAAUGUAACCUCUUAUUUUUUAUACUUUAUUUUUAAUAUUUUAAAAUUUAAUUGAAAUAUUUCAACUUUGGUUUAAUCUCUAUAUUAUAAAAAAUUAGUUGAAUUUAUUUUUUUAUAUUUUUUCUAAUAAAAAUUAAAUCAAAUUAAAAUUUUUAAAAUUAAAACAUAAUCAAAUUGAUAUAUAUAAAAAAUCAAAUUAAAAUUUUAAAUUAAUUCAACUUGAUUUUUUAUCAAUUUAAAUAGAAUAAUUCCCACCUUAAAUAAUGCUGCCAAUGUAUAAAACUAAAAAUUUAUGACAAUGAUAAAAAAAAAAUUAUAUAAUUUACUCGGUUAGUUUUAUUUAAAAAUAUUUUUUAUGAAAAAUAUUUUCAUGAAAAAGGAUAUUUUAAUAGAAUAAUUUAUUUUUUAUUAUUUAAUUUUAAGUUAAAAAAUAAAAUAUAUUAAUAAAUUUAUAUAUACAUAUACUAAUAAAAAUUUUAAGGUGCAUAAAAUGAUUUUUUUAGAAUAAAUUAUUUAAUUUUUAUUUUAAUUUAAAAAAAAUUUGUUAAUUAAUUUUUUUAAAUACCAUAAUUAAUUUAUUAAUUGUAAUAAAAAAAAUCUUAAUAAAAAAAUAAAAGUUACUAUAUUUUAUGAAUAAUAAAAAAAUCUUAAUGUAUUAAUUGUAAUAAAUAAUUAUGACAUCAUGAAAUGCACAAUUAAUUUUAGAUAUAAAUUAAAAGAUGAUAAUCUAAGUUUUUGUUUGGACAUUCCUUUUAAAGAUUUUAAAAUCCUAAACUCUUUAAAACAAAUGUUAAUGAAAUGUAAGCACAUUUAAACCAUUAUUACUUUUAUAAAAAUUAAAAAACAAAUAUUAACAUAAGAAAAAUAUUAUAAACGUUAUCUAAAAAAUUAGAAAUUAAAAAAAAAAACUUUUCACAAUUCAUUAAUUUAAUGUACAAACAAAAAUAUUUUAUUACAUGUUAUCCUCCAUGUUAUAACAUAAAUUAUUAAUUUAUAUAUAUGGUAAUCAAUUCAACUUAACUUUUAAUUUUCAUACUGCAAUUUUUUUUUAUUUUAUCGAGAUUUUUAAAAAAAUUAAUAUUACAUAAUAAUAGACUAAAAACUCAUGGGUGCUAACACUAAAAAAUAAAGCUAUUGUGAUAAAAAUAAAAUAUAAGACUAUUGUGAUAAGAAUUUGAUCAGGUCGCACUCGAUUUCAUCGAGAUAAAAGAAUCCUUGAAUGCUUGAGAUGAACUCUUCGUCAAGACUCAUCUCCUCAACUACAGAAGAUCUCGACACUAGAACAUCUAGCUCUCCGUUAAAAAAUCACUCUCCCCUGAAAAAAUUGAAUUUUCACAUAAAGCUAUCUUUAGUAGACACAAUACAGCAAAUCCCUAUCAUGCCUGCAAUAAGAAGAUCCCCAACUAAUUAGUCGGUGAGAUCCCUUAUCAAUCAGCCAGUCACAUCAUUAAUGAAUUUAUAUAAAAUAUUAUAAUUAACUCUCUUUUUAUAGUAUAAAAGUUAGUGAUAAGAGAGAUAAAUAUAGGCUAUUCUGACAAUUACAGUAUAUUCGUUCUAUAUUUCAGUUUAUUAACUUGAGCGGUGGAAUAACUGCUGUAAACACACCACCUCAUAUUCUCUUUUUUGCGGAUUGCCUAAUCAUAGUACAGUUUCGUUUUAACCAGAUACCGACCAUCUUAUUCUCUCUCGUUAGUCAAUUAUAGCACAAUUUCAUUCAAGCCGCAUAAGAGUUAGUUCGUAUUUCUAGAUUUUUUUUUAUCUACUCACUUAUAUCGAUUUCAAAUAUAAAUAUACCUUUAUUAAAAAUUAUUUGAACUUAAUAUAUAUUUUAAAUAUUGUAGAUGUAUAAUAUUUUUUUUUUCUAUUCAACGUUACUAUUAUUAAUUUUUUAGAAUAAUAUUUAAUAAUAAAUACAAAAUUUUGAUAUUUAAAAUGAUGAAAACGAUCAUAUAUAAUGAAUGAAUUUCAAAUUAUUCAUAUUUUUAGUGUGACAUUUUAUUUUAUUGAUUUUUAUUAUUAUUUUGUGAAUAUUAUCAUAACAAUAGUAGAUAAAGUUUAAUUCAAACAAUAAAAAUAAACUUAAAGUAGUGUUUUAUUUUCAUAUUAAAAUUUAAAAAAGUUAAAUACAUAAAUUAAAAUUAUUUAUCAUAUCAAAAUUAUUAAUAGCCACAUGCUUCACAAUCAGUCCAGGAUAGUUGAGUAAAUGAAUUUUCCAGGUUAAUUAGUUUUACAGUGUGAACUAGUAAUCUUCUUUACAAGACAAAAAUAGAAACGUCAUAACUACCGAUUUUAGGACAAAUCUAGUCAAAAGACGUCUCUUUCACAGACGAUGUUCAAUUGCAUGAGAUCAAUUGAAGGUGGACCAAUUUGAUUUAUUACUAUUAGUAAGCAUGGCAAGAAUCUUAUUAUCCAUUCGGAUAUUGUAAAUUAAUUUGAUGUGGUCUGUCUGUUUGACUCCUGUGAAUGAUUACAUUUUGAGAUUUGUAUGACCCUUUUGUAAAGAAAAGAAGAGCGAGGUGUACAAAUCCCUCUGUAGCUUAAGCCAAAAACGAUUAUAUACUAAUACACAUAUAUUAAAAUUGACUUUAAAAGUUUAUGCAAAUACAUUUAAUUUAUUAAUAUUUAUAAUAUUUUGUUAUUAAUGUUUAAAUAAAAAAAUAUUUAUUUUUUUAAAUAAAUUAUAAAUAACUCAGUAAUUUUGUAUAUGUUUAAUAGUAAGAUAAUAUUAUAUUUUUAAAUAUCAAUAAUAUCAACUUGCAAGUAAUAACGAGUUUUCACAGGAAGGCAUUUUCAGAAUUUGCAUUCUAAAGGGCCUUGAACUGACAAUUUUGCUAAGCAAUCAGUCACAGAGUUAGUCUCACGAAAGAUAUUUUUGAAAUUAACUUCCCACGCAUAAUCCACCAAAGUCGUAAUAUCAUAAAUUAGAUUCCUAACCCAGCUUGCUUCAUCUAAACUUUUCUCAAUUAAUUGCAUGGUCACCUGUGAAUCAGUUUGAACCUGCUUUUUAUAUAGUUUUUUAUUAUUAAUUAUUAUAAUACUCGUGUAUAUUAAAAAUAAUAAAAUAUAACAACUAGAUGUCUAUAAAUUUAUAAGUUAUAUUAUUUAAACAUAGUGUUAUUAUAAUAAUAUAUUAAAAAUAGUACUUCUACUGAUACUAUUUAAAUUGAUAAUUAUUUUUAAUGGAUAUUAUUUAAUAAAUUUGAUUUUUUUAAAAAUAAUUAUUUUAUUUUUAUCUUUUUAAUUAUUAUUGUAUUAUAAUAAAAUAUUUAUAUUAUGUUAAUUUGAUAGUAUUAUUUAUAAUAUAAUUUUUAUAAUAAUAAAUAUUUUUAAUUAUUUUCAUAAUAUAUUUUAAUUUUUAAUAUAUUAAUAUAAUAAUAUUAUAAUUAAAUAAUAUAAUUAUAAAUUUAUUGAUAAACAGUUAUCAUGGCUUUUUUUUAAUUACUGUACUAUAAAAUUAAUAUUAUGUUAAACGUGUACAGUUGUAUAAAAACAUUUAAUAAAAAUUAAAUUAAAUUUUUAUAACAUUAAAUAUUUAUAUUAAUUUAUUUAUUUUUCUUUAAUAAAUUAUAAAUAAUACAAUAAUAUUAAUAUCGUAUAGAUUUUGUAAAAAAUAACUCAAUACGUCUACUAAAUAAUAUAAUAUACUUUAUUAUUUUUAACAUAUUAAUAUUGUAAUAUAAUAAUAAAAUAGUAUUAUUGAUCAAUAUACAUUUAAUUACAGAAUAAUAUUAUUUCAUAACUUUAAAUAUUUUUUAACAUAAUUUUUUUAUUAUUAAUUUUAUAAUAUCUCUUUAAAAAUAAUAAAAUACAUUAAAUAAUGACGUAUUAAUAAAUUUAUAAUUGAUAUUUUUUUAAUUACUAAAUUACUUUAUUAAUAUAUUAAAAUAUUUAUUAUUAUAAAAAAUAUAUUAUAAAUUAAUAUAAUAUAAAUAUACCAGUAUAAUAUAUUAAUUAAAAUAAUAAAACAAUUAAAAAAAGCUUGCGCGCAGGCAUUAGCCAUUUAAAUCCUGCGUGGAAGCUUGUUUCUAUGAAAAAAAUAUAAAAUAUAAUUUUGACCUCUUUAUACACAUCAGGAGUGAAAUUUUCUAUUUGGUAAAUAAAUUUAAAUUAAACUCAAAAACUUAAAUAUUUGUAUUUGUAUUGAGCAAUGAUAGCUAUGUGUAUAAAAAUAUCCUAUUUCUAAAUUAAAGUAAUUGGGUGUGAAUUGAUUUUUUAGUAUUUUAUUUUAUAUAAACAAAUUGACCCUUUGCAAUUAAUUAAUUAUAUAUAUGAUAUACUCGGUGUCUGCCACGUGUAUAAUGUUUUCUUAAACUAUGAAGAGUGAAAUUUAUUCUUUACAAGUAAUAAAUCUUAUAGACAGAAAGAACUGAAUAACCUCAAUAUAUAGGUUUAGUUAUGCACUUCUUCUAAUUUUUUUGAAAUUAAAAGUAAAAAUCAGUAAGUGGAAGAUUGCAUAUGCGAUGAUGGAAGGCAAGGUGUUAGAAAUGGAUCGAAAAUAGACAGAAUAAACGCGUAAACUUUUCCCACCUCAUUGCAAAACAACUACAUAUCAAAAUCCAUUAUUCCUCUCUGACGUUCAAAGACAGCAGUUUGGAUUUCUCUAUUUCUUGCUUUUUCCUUUCUUUUCUUUUCUUUUCUUUCCUUUUCCGUUCCUGGAGGUGUCGGUAGGACCAAGUGUUCUAUCCAUUUGUCUGCCGCCCAUUGACUUGGCCAUCCUUUUCCAUAAUUUAAGGUCCUUAAUUAAUUAAUUAAAUUGGUCCAUUUUCAAGUCCAAACAACCCCAUGCUAGCCAACUCUAGUUACUUUCCAUGAUAUUCUCUCCUCUCUUUCCGCGUACUUUGCCCUAAAGUUUACUAUUUUUUUCUUGACUACAUGCCUUUUCGAGUCAGUUAUAUAAAAUUAAAGGAAGGGAGAAUCUUAUUCGGUUUUUUUAGUUUACUAUUAUUUAUGGACUAAAUAAUAUGUAAAAUUAAAAUUUUAUAAAUUAAUUAAUAUAAAAUUUUAAGUCGGAUAAGAUUUUUUAAAAACUUACUAAAAGUUUUAAUUUUAUAAAAUAUAUGAAUGUUUUAAUUGAAUCGUUUUAAAAUAAAAAUAAAUUAGUAAAAUUUUUUAAAAUAUUGAAACUUAAUAAUAUUUUUUUUUUCAAAAUUAAAUUUCUAUUUAAAAUUUCAAUUCCACAUGCGAUAACUAGUGUUCGCGGAUAAAUAUAAGACUGGUUAAACAUUGUAUGCAAUAGUAAGUUCUAUUACCCUCUCAAUUAAAGAAUUGAGGUUUGAUUUUUGGAAAUAAAUACUGUAUGCAAUAGUAAGUUCUAUUACCCUCUUAAUUAAAGAAUUGAGGUUUGAUUUUUGGAAAAUGUAUUACUGAUAGAAACAGAAUAAAAUUUGUUAGAAUUAAUAUUUUAUAAAUUGUAAUUGAACUUUACUCAAUUUGCCAGUAUAAAUUCAUUACUUGUAUACUUUCUAAAAAAUUCCUUCAAAUUUGUGAAAAAUUCGACAAAUAGAGGACGAGUUUUUAAGAAAUUUUAACUUACUUUUCAAUACUAAAGUAAUACAGAUUAGAGAAUUAAAUCAUGAAAUAGCUUGUGAGAUACUAAAAAAGGACACUCACAAUAUAAAAUUCAUGGAUUUUCUAAUUAAAAAUUCAACAACCACCUAUCAGCAGCCGAUAAGACUCAGAAAUACAUAUGGUUGGAUAAUAAAGUUCAAGUGUUGAGACAUGAUUAGAAACCGACCAAGAAGAAGACUCAGAAGUCAUAUAAGUAAAAAUAUGAAAGUGAAAGGAGUUAUCCAGUGUCAUGCAGUAUGGAUGACCGAGGUAAAUUUAAAAAAUAUACUCUACUAAAUGACUCACAAACACACAUGCUUAUGUGAAUCAGGAAAUGUAAUAUGGUCGAGUCGUUUUUUAUUCUUGGAGGAUUUUGUAAUUCAUGGAAAUAUUAUCAAUAAAUUAUGAUAUAUUUUUCAAUCCUUUUGGUGUUUAAAUCAGAAUUAUUAGAAACGAUAGAUUGAUGAAAGCAUUGAAAAAAGAAAAAGCGUCACAAGGCGGAUAACCGUCAGGCGAUUCUUCGAGCUUAGUCCCGAAAGACAAAGACAAUUUCUAUAAAAAAACGCCAUAAGAUGGGUAAUCGAAAAGCGAGCCACAAGGAGGGUAACCGUCAGGCGAGUCUUCGAGUGUUAAUCCUAAAAGAUAAUGAUUAAGACAAAUUCUAUCAAAAAAUGCCACAAAGCAGGUAAAGCUAGAUAAGCUAUAAGGCGGGUAACCGCCAAGUGAGUCUUCGAGUGUUAGUCCUAAAAGACAAUAAUUAAGGUAAAUUCUGCCAAAAAAACACCAUAAGGCGGGUAAGCAUCAAGCGAGCCGAGCCACAAGACGGAUAAUCGCAAAGUGAGUCUUUGGGUAUUAGUCCUAAAAGAUAAUGAUUAAGGCAAUUUCUACUAAAAUCGAUACAAAAUGGGUAACUGCCAAACAUAUGACCGAGUGCCAGACCCAUUAAAAAGUUUAAGGCAUUUAUGUCUAAGACAGCAAGUGGGUAAUCGCCAGGCAUAUAAUCGGGUGUCAAACCCAUUAAGAAAUUUAGGCAUUUUACCUCAAGGCGGAUAACUGCCAGGGCGAGUCCGAAUGUUAGUCACACUUAACAAGUUUAAGGCAUUUUUUGCCUGAGUCUCGAGGUGGAUAACCAAUAGGUAGCCCAGGUGUUAGUCCCAUUAAUAAAGUUUUUCAAACAUUUAUGCCUAAACCACAAGGCGGGUAACCAUCAAGUACAUGAUCAGCCUAUUAAUAAAGUUUUUAAGACAUUUAUGCCUAGGUCAUAAGGCGGAUAAUCGCUAGACACAUAACCGCUAGGUAAAUGUUCUAAAUGUUUUGUUGUUAGUUUUGUUGAAAUACAUUAAAUCAUUUAUUUAUCAAAGUUUGAUGAACGAUCUGUAAAAUUGCCAGUGAUAGUUCUAGUUAUUAUUUAUAUUAUUAGGCCGAGUACUGAUCCUAAUAUUUAACAAAAAUAAAAACAAGAGGAUGAAUAAAAUAUUUUCAUUAGAAAAGUUUUACACGACAAGAGGAACAUCUUCAGUCUCCUCCUCCCGAGCUUCUAUUAUAUUCUCUACAUCUAUUACAUUUUCAGUAGAAGUCGGGUUAGAGGAAUUGUCUUCAUUUGGUUUAUCCUCAUCCUGCCUAUCUUCGUCCUCUUCUUCUUCCUCGGAAAAGAUGUCGUUAAUUCAGGAGAAGUCCUUUGCUGGAAAUUGCUUGAUGAGCACCUUCUUCACAGAGUCUUGGCCUUCAACAAACAUCUCCCCACCCCGGCCUACCGUCUCUCGAAACUUAGCUUCUAGUUUAGCAGUCCUGUCUGUGGUGGCUCGACUUUCCUGAGCUUGAGAUUGCAGCUCCUGGACUUGCCGUUGAAGAUCAGUCACUUGAUCCUCGGCAGUCUUAGCCCGAUUUUCAAGAGUAGUCUUUAUAGCAUUGGCUUCAUCCAGAUCCACCUGAAACUUAUCUACAAACUCUAAGGUCUCCUUCAUGGUAUUCUCCACCUCGGUUACCCGAGUCUUCAACCUAAAGCAUUCCUCUUGAAAAAAGUUUUGUCCGUCUCUUGGACACUAUACUCUUUCCUUGGGGACUUGUUCUCUCCUUGGCUAAGUACAUACAUAGAGCAUUUUCUAUAUCAGAAUGCAUGACGUUGUCAUAUAGUUCAUUUGUCUCAAACACACUCAUCCCUACACGGUCGAACUCCAUCCUUCCAAAGUUCUACAUAAACAUUUCAAUCAGUUUGUAGUUGUCCAAAACCCCCUGGACACCCUGUGGCGGAGGAUAAAGAAUUUAUGUUUUAAACGCUUCAAGGAAGAGGGUCUCCAGUUGAAGAGGGUCUGACGCUUUUUUCCUUUAAAAAAUCAAAACUCCUCAUUUUUUUGAGUUUUCAACUAGUAUAGUUGAGAGAAGAAAGCAACGUUCGGCUUGAUGUUUUUAUUAAAAUAGACAAAGUGGAAGACCAUGAGAAUUCUCCAAUUGUUUGGAUGAAACUAAGCAAUUGACAGCUUGUGGAACCUAAGGAGUUAAACGAAUUAUUUUAAUAAAAAUAAUAUACUUUAAUAAAAAAAAUAUUUUAUAUUUAAUAAAAUUAUAAUUUUAUUCACACUUUCAUCUAUUAUUAAAAAUAAAUAAAUCGUUGUUUUAUACUCAAUAGCGAAGCCAAAUAAAAUGAAUUUCAAACUAUUAUAAUUAACUUAUAAUUAUAAUUAAAAUAUAUAAAAUUGCAUUUUACUGUCGCGGUCUUAAAUUGACACUUUAAAUUUUUAAAAAUUAAAUAGUUAUACAUUAUAAUAUUUAAAGAUUUAAUAAUUAUAUUUUAUAAUGUUGAGGAUGAAAUAGUUAAAUUUAUAUAAAUAGUAAAGUAUUAAAAUUUAAUAAAAAAAAAGAAUACAACUUUUGUAUAAAGUAGAGGAGCCAAAUCAUAUAUGAUUUUAAAUGUAAUGAAUAUAUAUUAUAUAUAUGUACAACAUGGAAUUUUCAAACAGAGAAUUCAGUUGCUAUAGUUGAAAAUUCAGUUAUGAAAAGGCUAUAUCCAACACUUGGGUCAAUCAAAUAUUAGUGCAAGCACAUGACACAUCAAUAAUGGAUGUACCUAUCUAUACACUCACAAAGCCCACACCUUUCAUAAAGAAUGCCCCUUCCAUGUGGCAGCCGCAAAAGGAAGGGGAAAUUACUUUUUCUUUUUUUUUUUUAAUUUAUUUAUGUUCAACAAAAUUAAUAAAUUAUUUCAUCUUUUUAUUUGAAAAAUAAAUUAAUUAGGGCAAUUAUUAAAAUAAAACUUCAAUCAUGUAUACUUUAAGAAAAUAGAUAAAUUAAAGGGACGGAAUAAAAUCCAAACACACACUUAAAAUGAUAAAAAGGACUAAAAAAAUGAAUGAAAUAAAAAUAUAGAAAUUAUUUAACCUAUUUUUCAAAAUAAAAGUAAUUUUCUUAAAUUAUAGAUUUUAAAAUAAUAUAUUUUUAAAAAAUAAAGACAGUGGAUAAUAUAUGGUGAGACUGGAAACUUAGUGUUGAAGGCAUUUGAGUUUUAUAUUAUAGAUACUUGAUAUGUUGACUGAUUAAUUUUUAUUAGAUAUCUCAAUUUUUAACUUAUAUCUUAAUUUUAUUUCUAAAUUUUAUUGUUUACCCAACUUGACCUGAAAUAAGGAUUUGAUAGAAAAAAAAGAAAGUAUUGUUCCUUCUUUUGGGUUUUCCGACUGCUUGAGAUAAAGAAGCCUAGCUAGGGUGGUUGAGAAGUCUCUCGAACAGUAGCCAUUACUGGCUGUGCUUAAUAACCAUUGAAGCCUUAGGAGUCGGUAUAAGUAGAAAAAAUCUUUAAAGCAAUCACUUGCUAUGCAAUAAAAACAUAUUCAUGUUCAAGUUCAGACCAUACGCAACCACAAAAAAAAAUUAAGCAAAUGAUAAAAGCGAAAUAAAAUAGCCGACAUCUAGCACCAAUCAAGAUAGAGAAGAUGUGCGCUUCGAUGACCUAUUCAUACAUUUUAAGACAUACUCCAUAAGCUACCAUCAUGCUGCCCUUUAUUGAACUAGAUAAGCAAAGCCAAGUGCAAGAUUUAGGAAGCCAUCAGCUUGCAUGCAUCAACCAUAACAAAGAUAAAACCAUAAAAAAAAAUUGCAAACAAAAGAAUUUUCCCUCAAUGUCUUCUCAUGUCUUCUGGUAAAAAUCUAGACAAUUUUGAUAAAAAAAUCUAAAUAGAAAGAAAAAAUAAAAAUAAAUCAAUUGGAGGUGCAAGAGAGAAGCAAAAGAUGUUUCUCUCCCGAACAGACCUAAUUGCAGGAAAUUGAUAUAAGAUUAGAAAUUGAACCCAAAGAGAAAAACCAUUCUCAAAAUAAAAACUCACUAGAUAAUUAGAGAGAGUCAUACGAGAUCCACUUUAAAAAAAGUUAUAUGAUGAGUUUGUGUGUAUUAUUCAUAUUUCAAAUUGCUCAAAACUUUAUCACUAUUCAAAUCGAUGUGAAAUUAUUUUCUUUCGAGUAUAAAUUAUAUUAAAAAUUUAAAAGAAACUUGGCAGAACUAGUAAUGAAAUUUUAAUUUGAUGGGCCAAAUCAUUCUUUAAAUAGUAAGGAUUUAAAAUUUAUUAUUAAAUUAGCAACAUAUUACAAAAUUUAUUGCUAAUUUAACAAUUAAUUUAAAAUUCAUUACAAAUUUAAAUUUAAAUUAGUUGCUAAUUUAUCAAAGAUGAAAAAAUUUUAUUGAUAAUUUUUUGAGAAAAAAAAAAGCGAUUUCUUAUUUGUAAGUUACCAAUAAAUUAAUGAUGAAUUUUAUUUAUGUUGCUGAAUUUUAAUUCUAUUGCUAUUUCGUUACUUAUUUAGCAACAGAAUUAAAAUUCGUUCCUAUACUAGGCAUUAAAUUUUUUUUAACUAACUGUUAAUUUGUGAAAGAGGAAAACUUACUUUUCUUUUUUAAUUAAUGAUAAAUUUUUAAUCUAUCAUUAAUUUGCAGUAAAUUGCAUAUAUGAGUGCAAUACCUUCAUUUUCUUUAUUUACUUAUUUUUAAAAUUAUUGUGCUACUCAUGAAUUUAAUUUGUUGAUAAAGAUAUUUGAGUAAAUCUGAAAAAUUUCAGAUUCUAUUUCUUUAAUCUUCGAUCUUCAUUCUAAAAGAAAAUAUUAUAAAAAAAUAUUAUUACGAUAUGUAAGUAUAUGGGUACAUAAUUAAGUGGGAUCAAUCACUUCCCCACAAAUGUAAUGUUGAGGAUGUGAAAGGACAAAUAGGAUAUACUGGUAGAAUCUCACAAUUUUUUAUUUUUGGAGAAAAAAAAAAAAAAACAAAGUCACAUCGUUGUUGAAUGUAGGAAACAACACGUACCCCACCUUACUAUACUUGUAAUUGGAAUUACCUACUCGUCAACUUCUCUCAAUUGAGAAGCCUUUGCCUUUAGUUGUUCCCACAUCCUUUUCUCUUUCAUCUUCUAUCAUAUCCACGUAGUUUCCUUUUCCAUGCAUCAUUUUUCUUUUAUAAAUCUUUUCCAAAGCAUGUGGAGACCCACGUAGAUACUUAGCUAUACAAUAUUAUACGACAAAUUUCAAGUCAUAUCUAUAUUAAUUAUUAAAAUAAUUUAUUUAAAAAUUUAAACUUGCACAAAUAAAAAAAUAAAAUCUAAAUUGAUAAAAGGAAAGCAAAUAUAAUAAUGAAAUUCAAAAUUUGAUAAAAAUAGGGAAAACGUUAUCCUUUGAUUAAAAGUCUUUGGCAAUAAAAUCAUUUUCUUCAUUUUUAUUAAUUUUUUAAAAACAAUAUAUAAUAUUAAUUGCCACAAAAAUCAACCAUACCAUUAGGAACAAAACAAUGGUUCAUGACUUCAUGUGGUGAAGGCAACAACCACCAACUUACCUUACCAAAUAGAAAUAAAUAGAUAAAUAAAAUCCUACUUAGAUUUUGACAUUUUCUUUAAUCUUUUAAAAAAUAGUCUCUUUCAAAUUAACUUUUCUUUUUCUUAUUUUAUUCACUUUAUCCUUUAUUUUUAGCUAACUUUUUUUACGCGUAUUAGACACAUCUUAGUACUUAAUCACAAAGAAAAACAAGCCACUAAAUCUCUUACCUAAAUCCUGAUUAUCUCAUUCAUUCGCUUUAAUUUUAUCCAAUCGUAUCUGUUCGAUAAUUUUAAUUAUUUUAAUAAUUUGUGUAUGUAUUGAAUUGAGAUAGAAAUAGCAUUUCUUUAAUUUAAAUUAAAUUUUAAAAUAAAUUAUAUUUAAUUCAAAUUUAAUAUGAUAUUAAAAUAUUCUAAAUAUUAUCUCCUGUGAAUAUUUUAUAUUUCAAUAUAGUCAGGAAUUAGCAGUAUUUGAUUCAAACCGAAAAAAACGAUCGAAUCAAAUUAAUUUAAAAUUUUAAUUUAAUUUUUUAUUCAUUUUAAUUCAAUUUUUAAUUUUAAAAAUUUUGAUUAUUUUAAUUUAGUUUGAUUUUAAUCAGAAAAAAAUUAAAAAAAUCAAACCGAACCGAUCAGUGAUAAUAGUAUAUUAUUUUCAAUAAUAUAGAGAAAUUAGAUUAUAUCAAUAUUAAAAUAUUUUAAUUAAAUUUUAAAAUAUUAAAAAUAAAAUAUAAAAAAUAAAAAAAAUAUAUUAAAAGUUCAAACCAAACCGAAUCAGACCGAUUCAUUUCGAUUUGAUUUUUAGUCAAAAUCAAUUCAGUUUGAUUUUUAUAAAUACUAAAAUUUUAAUUUUUAAUUUAUUCGAUUCGAUUCGGUUUUAAACCAAACUGACCGAAUACUCAUCUUAAUAUAAUUUUAAACGUAUUUAAGUGUUUUAAUAAUAAUUAAUAAAAUGUUAUAAGAGUUUAAAUUUUUACAUAAUUUAUUUUCUUAGCACCUAAAUAUCAGUCAAAAUGCUAAAUAUUAUUUUUAAAUUUAUUAUAAAUAAAAUUGAGUGUUUAAUUUAGAUUCACAAAUUUAUUUUAUAUAUAUUGAUUAAUUAUAAUAAAAAUUUUAGUGUAAUAAUUAUUAAAUUUAUUAUCUCUCUAUUUGCAAUUAAAAAUUUUAUAAAAAUUACAUUAAAUAUAUAUAUUUUUUCAAUAAUUCUCUUAUUUAAAAUAAAAUAAAAUAAUUUUAUUUAACUUAAAAUAUUUUUAUUUUAAAAAAAUAUAAUAUAUUGCAUGAUUUUUGAAAUUUUCAUUUAAAUUAUGUCAAAUGAUUCAUAUUAUAGAAUCUUGAUACGUUUUGGGAGGUUUUUUUUUUUUUCUUUUAAGUCCAUUGGCUGGUCCACUGGAAAGUUGGAAUAAUUACCGUAUAUUAUAAUUAGUUAUACUAAUCAAAUAGGUCAAAUUUAAGAAAUAGUAACACUUUUCCUAAAUCUAAUUACAACUACCAACUGUCUUCCCAACUAUAAAAUUGCAACUACCAUGUACCUAUAAUGCCCUUUAUUCUUUUAAAUAAAUUACAAAUUUACAUUAAAAAAAUGCAUAAUUAAUCUUACAACAAAAACAUAGUAAAACCUAUUUUUUAAUAUAUAUGGAAAAUAAAAUAAAUAAAAAUUAUGAGAUUGAUGGGUAUUUUAAUAAAUAAAUAAAUAAAUUAUUUAUAAUUUUUUUAAUUUAAUUAUUUUAUAUUCAAUGUGAAUUAAAAAUAGUAAUUUGGUGAGGAAGAUACGAAGAAAUUCAAUGGGAAAGAUUUGAAGGAAGAAUCGUUAAAAAAUAUUUGUGUUAGAUAAGGAUAAACUAAUAUAUUAUUGUAGUUUUAAUUUAUUGUUUUUUUAUUUUCGCAAAUCAUUUUAUAUUUAACUCCUUCAGUCAACAAACUUUUUUUUUUUCUCAGUUUGAAAAAAAAAGUAUAAGACAAUAGUUUUUCUUAUAACUUUCCCUUUUAGCCCUAUUUAAUAAAAUUGAAAAUUUUUAAUAAUUAUUUUCAAUUGGAAUUGGAAUGACAUUUCAUAAUUUUAAAUUAAUUUAAAUAAUUUAUUAAUAAUAUAAAACAUUAAUAUAAUUCUUUUAAUUUUAUUUUAUCUCUUAUAUAAUUCAGUAUUUUUAAACUGUUGAUAGUUUUUUAUUGGAUUCUAACGAUGACAUAUUUGUGAUUUUCAUGAACUGUUAUUACACUAUAACCACCAAAAAUCUCUAUAAAUAUAGAAUUCUUUAUUUAUUAGCCAAUAAAUUUAAAAUUUUAAAGUAAAUUUUUAAUUAAUUUUAUUUUUUUAUCAUAUAAAAAAUAAUUAUAAUAAAAAGUUCUACAUUUUCCACAAAUUAUCAACUAUCUCACAUUUUUUCGAUUCAAUUCAAUGCUAUUAACUUAUAAGUGUAGUUAAAUAUUAGCUCUCAAAACUAUUAAAUAGGAGAGUAGUAUUCAGUUCAAACCGAAAAAAUCGAUUGAAUCAAAUUAAAUUAAAAAUUUAGUUUGAAUUUUUAUUUAUUUCGGUUCAAUUUGAUUUUUAAUUUUAAAAAUUUUAAUUAUUUCAGUUCGGCUUUAUUAAAAAAAAUAAAAGAAAAAUUAAAUCAAACCGAUUAAUGAUAAUAGUAUAUUAUUUUUAAUAAUAUAGAGAGAUUAGAUCGUUAAAAUAUUUUAAUUAAAUUUUAAAAUAUUAAAAAUAAAGUGUAAAAAUUAAAAAAUCUAUUAAAAAUUCAAAUUAAUGAAAUCAAAUUGAAUCAAACUGAAUCAGACCGAUUCUAUUUGAUUUGAUUUUUAAUAAAAAUUAAUUCGAUUCGAUUUUAAUAAAUACCAAAAUUUUAAUCUUUAAUUUAUUCGAUUUGAUUUGAUUUUGAAUUAAACCGAACGAAUAUUCGGUUUUUAUUGAAUCCUAGAGUAAUCUCAAUAGGUACUUUUAUUUUUAAUUUAAAGCUCUAUUUGAAAUUGUAAUUAAAAAUUUAAUUUUUUAAAAGAAAUUCUUUUAAAUAUCAUUGAAAACAUGAUAAAAAAAAAUCAAUUUGCUAUUAUAAUUUUUUUAAGAAAAAAAAGCAGUAAAAAAAAGGAAUUCUUUAUAGUAUUUUAGCAAUUUAUAUAUAUAUAUGGGAGUUGGACAUGAAAGAUAUAAUAAAAUUAUUGUUUAGAAAAAUAUAAUUUUAGAAAUUAUUAAAUAAAUAGUUUCAUAAAUUAUUUAGUUAUUCUAUAAUUUAAAAUUAAUAUAUUUAAGACAUAUUAUUAGAUUUUUAAAAGGAUUCAAAUUAGAUAUAAUCUUUUCUAAAAAAAAAUUAAAUUAUUUUCUUGUUGGGAAAAUAAUUUGGCAAGAGACUCCUGUCCAUCUCUUCUAUUCUAUCUCUCAUCUUCCAGUCUAAAGACACUUUGCCAUCAUCAAUCCCUGUUCUCAAAAGCUUGGAGGCCCAACAUUGCAUGAAACGGUCCACGUGGCGUAACCCCUUUUCUUCCUCUCCUUUCUUUUAAACCCAAGAUAUACAAAUGCAAAACGACCAGUGUUCCACUCUUCUAUUGGCUUUUGGAUUCUUCGGUUAUUCCCCCAUUUCAAGUUCCAUGGUUCAACGCACACAAAACUCUUAAUUUUUUGAAUAAACAAAAUACCCACCUAUUAAAUCCAAAUCCCGACAAGGAAAUUUUUAUAUUUGAAUAAGAUUCACCGAGAGAAAGAAGGAACAGUGAAAAACAGAUUCACCAAAAGCUCCCUGAAUCAAAGUUUCAGCUCUUUCAGGACUAUCUGCACCGACUCGGUUACUCUUCUCUCUCUCUCUCUCUCUCUCUCUCUGCCUCUCUUUCGGUCUAUCUUCUUAUUUUAUUUAUUUUUCUCUAUAUAUCUGGGAUAGUCACCUUUCAAAUCUGGUGUAUGAAUCUCUCGCUUUUUCUUUUGAUUCUGUUUUGAGCUUUGAAGGCUUGUUUUCUGUUGAGUUUUUGUUCAGCUUACAUGGGUUCAUUUUAGUUUUUGGAGCUAGUGAAUGUAUAGAACAAAACCCAUUAGCAAAACCCUAAGUUUUGUCUAUCUAGAUUAAAUCAUUCCUCAAUUGAAUCAUUAUGGCAUUUGAUCAGAACCAUAUCCCUAAAGAUCUAAGACCAUUAACCGUUGCCAGAACAAUAUCCGAAGAGCCCCGCAUUGCUGCGGCUUCCAUCGCUGCUGCUCCCUCUAUUGCUACAACGUCAGCAACGAGUAGAAGCCCAGAAAUUUUUGCCAACCCAGAUGGUUCUAUACCCGUUUUUUACCCGAUGACCGUGUCUGAUGCUGGUUUUGUAGGUUUAGGGUAUGGUAAUCCGGCCCCAUGGGCUCCACGCCUGCCGGUGCCGAUUGGGAGUGGGAAUAGCGCUUCUGUUGGGUUUGGUUACAGCCCCAAUUUGGGUAAUAGGGUGGUUGGUAAUGCCGUUGAUCAUGCUGCACAUGAUGUGGUUGGUGGGUCUGGUAGCAGUCCCCAUUUGAACAAUAUGGUUAACUCUAAUGGGGGCAAUGAGUUGACAAGUUUGGGAUUUGGUUACAAUCCUAAUUUGGGGAACCGUGGAAGUGGUAGUGGCACCGGGGUUGAUCAUGUGAGUGAAGAGGGUGGGGAUGAUUCUGUGUCUGGGAAGAAAGUCAAGUUCUUAUGUAGUUUUGGGGGGAAGAUUUUGCCUAGACCCAGUGAUGGUAUGUUGAGAUACGUUGGAGGGCAGACUAGGAUCAUUAGUGUGAGGAGAGAUGUGACCUUUAAUGAGCUAGUGCAAAAGAUGGUGGAUGCAUAUGGGCAACCAGUGAUUAUCAAAUACCAGCUUCCUGAUGAGGAUCUUGAUGCACUUGUAUCGGUUUCUUGUCCUGAUGAUCUUGAUAAUAUGAUGGAUGAGUAUGAGAAGUUGGUUGAGAGGUCUUCCGACGGGUCAGGUAAGUUAAGGGUUUUUCUGUUCUCUGCUACUGAGCUUGAAGCAGCUGGUACAGUGCAAUUUGGAGAUUUACAUGACAGCGGACAGAGAUAUGUUGAUGCAGUAAAUGGAAUUGCGGAUGGUGUUGGCUGUGCUUUUGCUUGGAAGGAGAGUAUAGCAAGUGCAACUUCAACUCAGAACUCUGAUUUUAGUGGCACUGAGGCGGUUGAUAGCUCAGGUACUGGACAAGUGGACGUGAGUGGCGCGCCAACAACUAGUUUAUUGUCACCUAGAGGCGAUCUGGCAAGCCCCCACGAUUCCAGUCCAAAAUUUGUGCCAGUGGAGCCUAAUCCUCCAGUUUAUGCUGAUGCAUCUGCAGUGUCCCUGGGCAUUCCCACGGUUAAGUCCGGCCCUCCCCAAACAUUAUCUUCACAGCCAGAGGUUGAAAUUGAGAGGUCUAUACCUGUUGCUGUGCCACAGCAGCAAUUGGGAUAUGAUUUCCAGAAAAUGGGAAUGGGCAUUCCACCACCUGCAUCUCACUUGCAGGCUUAUGUAGAACCCCACCAAGAAAUCACAAAUCAUGCAGAUUAUAUGUAUCUUCCUGCCCAGAUGAGAUUUCCCAAUGCUCAGUUGUUGGGGACUGCUGGAUCUGUAUUCACUCAACAACAGAUUCGUGACAGUAAUGCAAGUGUGGCUUCUCAUCAAUAUAUUCCUGCUGCGCAUAUGACGAUGAGUCCCACAUCUUCUCAUGUAGCUAUGAGGCCAACCAUUGUUCAGCCACUGGUGCAACCACAACAAGCUCGUGUGGAGCGAUUUUCAGAUGAAAACAUGCAUGGAACAAGGAUUGUUCAGUUUCCUGAUCCAGGUUACAAUGCUUAUCAGCUCCAACAUCCCCCUGCUAUUGUUGGGGGUGGCUACUGCUGGCAUCCAGUUGCUCAGACAGAGCAUGUUGUCUUUUCUGAUGGAUCAGUGCCCCACCAGCAGGUAAUAAUUCCUGAGAAAAUUCAGAGGUUAGAGGAUUGUUUCAUGUGUCAGAAACAAUUGCCUCAUGCACAUUCAGAUCCUUUGGCACAGGACCAAAGGGAGGGUGGGAUAAGCAAUCUAUCUCAUUCAAACUCACUUAAUCAUAGUCUUCAUUUGGGAGACACUAUGAAAGGUCAGCCUUUGAGUUGGAGUAUGGUUGGUGGAGGUUUGGGGGAUGGCACUAUUGAACAGGGUGUUGGGGCUCGAUCCUCUGCCCUUAGCCAUGUUGACCAUCAAGUUGGAUUGCAACAAUCAGAAGCAAUUGUGUUCUCUCAUAAUGAGAAUGAGAGAACUACCAUGCGGAAAGCAGAUGAUUCUGAUCAAUCUCAGAUUUCAGUUCCUCAUGGUAUGAUGGCUGUACCAGGAUUCCAGGGUAUAGUUCUCCAGUCUCGUCCAGAAGGUUCUGUUCAGCAGCAUCAGGUUUCAGGUCAAUACCAGGUUAAGGAGGAGACCUUACAGAUAAAACCUAGUAAUGGUAAUUUCUCUAAUUUUCCUGGUGUAAUUCAAGCUUCAGAACGAUCAGGUCAUGAAUGCCCAGUAGAAUACUCUGGUAGCAUGCAUCGUGAUGUUUCCAAAGAAGAUAUUAUAGACUCCUGUGUAUCAUAUGAUCAGCGAAGAUCAGUUGAGGAGAUGUUAGAAACCCUCCAUAUAAACCCUGAAAUUAAUAAUGAUCAGAAUAAGUCACAUGUUGAUAAUCUGUGGAAGGAAGAUAUCUUGGAUCACAGAACCCAACAAUUAGGUGGAAGGGAUGCAUUUCUGGAUGAUAGCUAUAAAAAGCAUCAGGUGGUUCCUGACUCAAACCAUGUUAAGCCAACUGAUUUACUGCCUGCUUCUGUGGUCACGCAGCAACCUGUUUACGGUAAUCAAGUAUCAUAUCCACAAUCCAAUAUUGGAAUUCAUCUAUUGGAUUCUGGUGAGGUUAGUUAUGGAAACCCUACAUUCCAAGUUGUUCAGCCAGCCUAUGCAAUUGAUAGAAUCCUACAACCAAAAAUUAGUCCAACUGAUGUGGGACCUGGAGCUCAAAAUGCUAAUGUGCCGUCUUCCUUAGCAUCAUCUGGUAGAGUUAGUGAUUUUCAGGAUUCCCCAAACUCACUUUUCAGCAGCCAGGAUCCAUGGAAUCUAAGGCAUGACGCUCACCUUCCUCCUCCUAGACCCAACAAAAUUCUAACGAAAAAAGAAGCUUUUGAUACCAAAGAUCCUUUCAGUGAGAACCUUGCAAAUAAUCCUGUAGAAAUAAUAACAGAUGGGCUGAUGGGGGAUGGGGUUCCCCAGCCACUGAGCAAUUCAAAAAAGGAUUUGAAUUUGGAGCAAGCUCAAUCAUCCAAAGGUGAGCAGUUAUACUUUUUAUUGUUGUGCAUACUGUAUAUGGAUAGGUUUUGUGCAUAGUUGUAUUCGGAUUGGUUAAUUCGUCACUUAUGUUGCAAAUUUGUUUUCUUCGUCUUGUGUUAAAAGGCUCAGCUGAGGAACUCAUCAAGCAAGAACUUCAGGCUGUAGCUGAGGGAGUAGUUGCUUCUGUUUUUCAAUCAGGUAAUCAUAGUCCUGACUCAAUGGUAUAUGAAAGAAAUGAAUCAGCAUAUGAAGCAAGUCAAGACAUGAAAAUUUCAAGCGAAGAUAUAGAAGUGCAGCACAAAGCUAAAUUUGAGGUGCUCUGUCCUUUUUGUUCUGGAUGUAUUUGUCUGCUCAUGUUUGUUUUAUAUUUUGAUUUACUAGUGUCUUCUGACGUUGUAUUCAUUUGAUUGGGCAUUUCCAACAUUUCUUUUACUUGAUUAACUCAGGACAUGAAGAAUAAACUGCCAGAAAAGCUGAAUUUUCGAUUUCCAGUAUCUGAAGGAAAUUAUCGUCUGCAGGUUGGAAACCUAUUUUUUUUCCUUUUUUUUUUUCAAAAAAAAUCUUGAGGUUAUAUAGCUGUCAAUUUCUUAGGACUUCUUUUUUGGGAGCAGAUUAUAAAGAAUAUCGACCUUGAAGAGCUGCGAGAAUUGGGUUCUGGAACCUUUGGGACAGUAUAUCAUGGGAAGUGGAGGGGCACUGAUGUUGCAAUUAAAAGGAUUAACGAUAGAUGUUUUGCUGGGAAACCUUCUGAGCAAGAACGCAUGGUUUGUGGGUUUUUAUUAGGUGCAUCUUCCCUUAUUAAAGUCUUGCUUUGAUAUUGACUGAUGCUAUGCAUUAUUUGUACUUUGAAUAAAAUCAGAUAGAUGAUUUCUGGAAUGAGGCAAUUAAGCUUGCUGAUUUGCACCAUCCAAAUGUCGUUGCUUUCUAUGGUGUUGUGCUUGAUGGUCCUGGAGGAUCUGUUGCUACUGUGACAGAGUACAUGGUUAAUGGUUCUUUGAGGAAUGCUUUGCAGAAGAAUGAGAGGUUUAUUUCUUUUUCUUUUUUUUUCUCCAAAAGAAAAAUUAAUUUCAUGUUUCUUCUUUUGUAUCAUUUACAUUUCUAUGUACACAUCAUUUUUGAAGUGAUUUAAAUUUGACUGUUUAAAUGGUUUUUAUUAGGAGUCUUGACAAGCGAAAACGUCUGCUGAUUGCCAUGGAUGUGGCCUUUGGUAUGGAAUACUUGCAUGGAAAGAACAUAGUACACUUCGACUUGAAGAGUGACAAUUUACUUGUCAAUCUUCGAGAUCCUCACCGCCCAAUAUGCAAGGUUAGUUACAGGACCUAGAAAAGGUUGAAGUGUUCUGAUUAACUGGAAGAUUUUUUGGUUUAUUCUUAAGCUGUGCAGCAAACUUUCUUUAAGUGCUUAUCCAUCAUUUAGUCUUGUUUUAUAAAUAACAAUAGUUUUCCCUACCUACUUCAAACCCAGCCUGAUUUGAGAAUUUGAGAAGGCAAAGGUAAGAAUUUAAGAUUCAUCUGGAGUUUAACCAGUGUAAUAAUUAAAUUAAUAGUUUCUUUGUAAUUAAUGUAUCAUUACAAUGAGUAUUUUGAUAUAUANNNNNNNNNNNNNNNNNNNNNNNNNNNNNNNNNNNNNNNNNNNNNNNNNNNNNNNNNNNNNNNNNNNNNNNNNNNNNNNNNNNNNNNNNNNNNNNNNNNNNNNNNNNNNNNNNNNNNNNNNNNNNNNNNNNNNNNNNNNNNNNNNNNNNNNNNNNNNNNNNNNNNNNNNNNNNNNNNNNNNNNNNNNNNNNNNNNNNNNNNNNNNNNNNNNNNNNNNNNNNNNNNNNNNNNNNNNNNNNNNNNNNNNNNNNNNNNNNNNNNNNNNNNNNNNNNNNNNNNNNNNNNNNNNNNNNNNNNNNNNNNNNNNNNNNNNNNNNNNNNNNNNNNNNNNNNNNNNNNNNNNNNNNNNNNNNNNNNNNNNNNNNNNNNNNNNNNNNNNNNNNNNNNNNNNNNNNNNNNNNNNNNNNNNNNNNNNNNNNNNNNNNNNNNNNNNNNNNNNNNNNNNNNNNNNNNNNNNNNNNNNNNNNNNNNNNNNNNNNNNNNNNNNNNNNNNNNNNNNNNNNNNNNNNNNNNNNNNNNNNNNNNNNNNNNNNNNNNNNNNNNNNNNNNNNNNNNNNNNNNNNNNNNNNNNNNNNNNNNNNNNNNNNNNNNNNNNNNNNNNNNNNNNNNNNNNNNNNNNNNNNNNNNNNNNNNNNNNNNNNNNNNNNNNNNNNNNNNNNNNNNNNNNNNNNNNNNNNNNNNNNNNNUAUGUUCUUUAAGCUGGCAUCCUUCUCUCUCUCUGUUUUUUAAUCUGCAUAUUGAAAAUAGACCUCAUAUCAGGUUGUAAAAGGUGCUAGGCGAGGUGCCAUCCCCUUGGCUCGCCUGAGUAAGGCGAGUGCCUAUGACCAUUUAGGGGCCAGGUGAGAGGCCCCAAAGGCGUCGCCUCAUUGAAGUAGCAAUAGUUUUUUUUUUUUAAUGUUUUUUGAACAGCAAAACCAAAACCCUAGUCCCUCCCUAUCUGUUCCCCCAACAUCCCAAAGACUAUUUUCUUCCUCUCUCUUGCUCUCCUAAUAGUAGUCAGCAUGUAUGUGUCUCUUUUGUACCUCUUUCUCUAUCUAUCUCUUUCCCUUCUUCCUUUCUCUUUCUCUUCCUCUCUUUGUGCCUACUGGACCUGGUGCAAUGGCAGAUUCUAAUACCUUCUCUUUUUUUCUCCUUUCUCUCUUUUUUUUUUAUUUAUUUAUUUAUAAAAUAUCUCUCUUCUUCUCCUAUUUCCUCUUCUUUUCUUCUUCCAUUCUCUACUUCUCUUCCUAAACUGGCACUAUGGCAGCAUGUUUCGUGUAUGUGGACACACAGCGCACACAAACACUUGUGCACGCACACACGUAAAUUUAGGAUUGCCACUCUUCUAAAGCCAUAGACUACCUUAUCUUAGUGCUACCUUUCCCUUUAAUAACACUGCCAGAUAUGUUCUGCUAUUAGUCUGCAUGGCACGAUAGUUUGUUAAACCUCUGAAUUUAAAGUUCUUGGUCUAGGGUUCCAUUAGCAUGGAGUUCCUUGAUCAUUCCAUUUAUGCCUCACCUCAACUUGACAAUCCAAAAAGCAGUGGAGAGAGAAGGGGAGGUGUUGGGGUGGGGGGGGGGUGAAGGGAAGUCGCAGCAAGAGUGGAAGCUCUUUUUUGGAUUUAUAUGGUAGACUAAUUGAUGUAGAACCGAUAGAAUAAGAGAAACGAAAUCUCAAAGGGGAUGAAAACCGAAUUCUCAGCUUUUAUUAAUUCUUAAAUUGAAAAAAGUGCAAAUAAGCCCCUAUAUUUUUCAUCAAAAAACCAAAUAAAACCAAUUUCAACUUUUGGCCAAAUAAACCUUAUAACUUUUCCAUUUAAGUUUAAAUAGGUCUUAAUAUGAUAACAUGUUAUUUCUUUAAUUUUUUUGGGUUUAUUUGGUCUUGAAUGAAAAGUACAUGGGCCUAUUUCUUUAAAUAGGUCUUAAUAAAAAGUUUUGGGUUUUUUUGGCCAAAAAAGUGGAAAUUGUGCUUAUUUGGUCUUGAAUGAAAAGUACAUGGGCUUAUUUGAACUUUUUCCAUUCUAAAAUUAAUUAUCAAUCACAUAAAAUGGUUUACCCAAAUCCUAGAGAACUAAGGUAAUUACAGUAGAUUAUUUAUCCUAUAGUAUUAGAAUUUAAAACUUUAAAUAAAAAAAUAGAAAGCAAAGAUUAAUUAGUAAUUCCAAAUCCUACAAGUAGUUGUAGAAUUUCUGGAAAACCUUGCACUAUUCCUUCUUGUUAAAAGAAGUUGACUUUGGAGAGUUGAACUGAUAAUAAGAAUCCAUUAGAGAAUGAUCUAGAGUUCGAAAUUUCUUUUCAAUAAUCAAAGUAGCAUUGGAAAUAGAAUGAUGACUAAAUGCAUAUUUAUAUCAAUGUAUUAUUUUGGAUCAGCCCAUUAAAUACUUGAACUAACAUUAAAAUAUAUUGGACACUUAGAAUUUACAAAAUUCAUAACUAUUAAGCACAAAUUAGCUAUUAUCAUCGAGGGCUUAAUAAAAAUGUUAGAAAUAGUCCCACAUAUUGCAGACUAUACUUUGAAAAUUUGCUAAAUCUAGUUUAAAUUUUUGUAAAUGGUAAAGUUAUUCUUGUCUAACCUGGUUAACUUACGAAAAUUUGUAGUGCAAUUAGAAUUAUAUGUGAUCAUUUUUUUACUUUUUAUAAAAAAAAUGAUAAUAUGGAUAAUUUGUAUUUAAUUGUUGUGAAUUUUAUAAAUUUAGAUGUUUGAUUGGCUAGUUUAAGUAUUUAAUGGGUUAAUCCCAAAUAAAAUAGAGGUGUGAGCUUGUAUUUUGUCAUGGAACAACCAUACCAUUUGACGAGAUUUUCUAGUGCCACCUUGGGAGAAAGUAAUAAACUCAUCAUCUACUACUUCUAUGGAAUCUCUUUGUUAAGGAGAUGGCAACUUUUGCACAUAUUGAAACUCAUCAUUCACUACUUCCAUGGAAUCUCUUUGUUGAGGAGAUGGCAACUUUGGUGCUUAUUGACCUAAAAAAAUGCUAUAAUUCAACUUAGGAGCCUCAAAAGUAUCUUGAUGAAGUAACAAAUGCCUUCUAUUGAAAACAAAAACUAAUAUUCAUAUGAUAGGCAAGUCAAAUAAAUAUGCAGGGGAUCAAAGUUUUUGCAAAAUGGAAAUCGGUAGGGGUGUGCUAUGAUUGAACUGAUUAAACUCAGUUUUUGGUUUUAUUUUUAAAGCUUCAGUUCAAUUUCAGUUAGUAAACAUUUGAAGAUCAGUUUUCCAGUUCAGGUAACUCAGUACAAAAAACGGUGUUAAUUGAACUUGACCCAUUUUAUGAUUAUAUAAUCCACUACCAUUUUUUAACCUAGUUAAAAAUACUUGGUAUAACCUUCCUGCCCCCUUGAUCCCUUCUUUCUCUCAUUCCAGACUCCACAGAGACCCACUAUUGAUUAUUCUUUCUUCACACACGAAGAACUAUUCAUUUUGAUUUUCGUGUGUAGAUUUCUUUCUUUCUUCUCGUAUCAUUGCAUUGGAGAAACAUGCAACCCCAUGAUGUUGAUAUCACAUGAUGUUAAUUUCUGCAUCUUAGGUUCUCACCAAAGACAAAGACUGUUAUUGCAUCGCAGAUGUGUUCUUGGUGUUGGUGUUCAUUCUUGAUUUCUUGUUCUUACCAUCUUUUGGCUUUUUGAUUUAUAGUUUGUAUUUGUAGAACUAGUUUCAUGCUACAUAUUGUUUGUGUUGUGUUGCAAAUUUCUGGAGAACAUGUAUUCUCAGCUGUGUAAACCCAUGUUAAAUAAUUGGUGAACUUAGCAUCUCCAUUGGAGAUGAUAUAAGGAGGUAAACCAUGCAGUUUGACAACUUCCUCAAAGAACAAGCCAAUUACAUGUGAAGCAUCAGCGAUCUUAUUACAUGGAAUAAAUGUUGACAUCAGUGAUCUUAUAGAACACCUAUCUGCUGUUGCUAAAAUAGAAUCAAGACAUCAAGCUAUUUAGGUAAGCCAACAACAAACUCCUUGCUCACAUCUUUCCGAGCAUAUGUGGAAUAGGAAGUGCAAUGUUCAAACUAGCGUUAUUCUUUUUAGCCUUAGCUAGCUGAAAACUGCUGGAGGCCAAUAGAACCCAACCUCGAGCAGUUGCAAUGGUCUUCUGAAGACUGCUGUAGAGCAAUGGUCUUAGAGACAUCUCUGUUUAGCUUCAUUGAGUUUUCUAAAGAAUGCUAGACAAUGCCCUUCACGUUCAGUGCCAACACCUGAUGCAUCUCAAUCAACUUAAAGACCUUAUCAAAAUGGUGAUGACUCAAAACAGGGGUUUGACUUAUUUUCAAUUUAAUAUCAUCAAAAGUUUUAGUAGUGGUUAGUGCAAUUAAACUCACCUUUCAUUAGAUUUGGAUUCAUAAUUGAACUAAUCCCCUUGAUAAAUAUUUUAUGAAUAAAAUUAGGUAACCCAUGUAAACUAUGCGACUCAUAAACUGUUUUAGGUGUAGGCUACUUUAAUGACUUACCCUUUUAGGAUCAACUGUUAUGUUUUGCACAGAUACAAUGAGCACUAAGAAAAAUGCUUAAAAUUGCACAAAAGAGCCUUUUUUUUUUUAAAGGAUAAGUACAGCUUGUUCCCAUAAGAGUAACAAAAACUUGAUGAAUUGAUCCAAAUUGCUCUUUUUAGAUCCACUAUAUAUCGAAAAUAUCUUCAAACAAACCACCAAAAACUUGACCAAAAAAUUGCAAGACAUGAUUCAUGACAUCCAUAAAAGUUCCAAGUGCACAAAUGGUAUCAGUAGUCAUUUACACGAUCUAUCUUCAAUUUUAAAAGCAUUUUUUCAUUCAUCACCAGGACUAAUAUGGAUUUGAUAUUGUGCAAUGUUCAUUACACAAGUGAAUUUUAGGGAACCAGCAAGAACCUGAAGACAUAAUAAUUUUCAGAGGGGGAUUAAAAAUUAGUUCUCAGUUUUUAUUGGUUCCGAAAUUAAUUUCCAAUCACAGAAAAAAGUCUCAAAAAAUCUAGAAAUGAUGUGUUUGUAAUGGAGUAUUUUAUGUUGUAACUAUUAGGAUUUGGAACCAUAAAUAAGAAAAUGCAAAACGAACUCUAAUUAGGAUUACAAAUCAAUACAGAAUUCACAAGUAAUUAAAAAAGACUACUUUCUAUAUUUUUUCCCCCUGAAAUAGUUACUUAGGUAGUCCUAACAUAUCUAGAAAAUCCUGCUGCACUAAUGCAGAGUCAAUCUACCAAGCAAUUAAAUUCUCAUUUCUGAUUUUGCACCAGGUCGGUGAUUUGGGCCUGUCCAAGGUGAAAUGUCAAACGCUCAUCUCCGGUGGCGUGAGAGGAACACUUCCUUGGAUGGCACCUGAGCUUCUGAACGGCAGCAGUAGCCUUGUUUCUGAGAAGGUUUCCAUAUGGGUUUUCACCCUUUUUCUUAAGUACUUUCCGAAUGAUGAAUUACCAAAAUGUCUCCUCUCACUUAACUAAUGUAUGGUUUCUUCAUAUCUUGUUUAAUUAGGUUGAUGUGUUCUCAUUUGGUAUUGUGCUUUGGGAACUUCUAACUGGGGAAGAACCAUAUGCAGAUUUGCACUAUGGAGCUAUAAUAGGUACCAUUUUGAUUUUUAACAAUAAUCAUGUCUUUGCUGAAUGGCUCUUGAUAUGUUGUCUAUCAUUGCAUCACCAAAAUGCUGUUCAGGUGGUAUUGUGAGCAAUACAUUGAGGCCACCGGUGCCUGAAUCUUGUGACCCAGAGUGGAAGUCAUUAAUGGAGAGAUGCUGGGCAUCAGAGCCAUCAGAUAGACCAAACUUCACUGAAAUCGCUAAUAUUUUACGUGCAAUGGCAGCAAAAGUCCCUCCCAAGGGAUACAACCCAACGCAGCAACACCCUUCAACAUAAUCUCAGGUUCAAAGUUGAUUCCAGGCAAGUUGUUUCAGUCUAUUUUCUCCAUGUUCUGCUUCUCUGGACUGUAAAAAGACAUGUAAUUUGUUUUCCUAAAGUUAAAAAGAUAAAUAGUACAGUGAGAGCCCUUAUUAUUUAUUUAUUUUUUUUAAAUAUUUUUUCAUAUCUUUAUCCCUAUGUUUAAAAAUAGGAAUCCCAAUACAUAGAAUUUGUGAAGUUGGUAGGUUUUCACAUUUUGUUUUCUUUGUUUCUGUUGGGUUUUCAUUUAGCUUGGAUGAUGAAGAGGGCAUUUUGGGCCAUUUUUUCUCUUUUAUGCUUUGGUCUCGAGUUCUUGAAGAAAUCGAUUCAACUUUUCACAACCAUAUAAAAUAGUUAUUUUUUUUUAUUUAUCUAUUAUUUUUAAUAAAAAACUUGUAUGAAUUUUAUCAUUGUAACAAACACAUUUGAAUUUAAUGUAUUUAAUAUAAUUAAACUAAAAAUAUAUUAUAAGAAUUUUUUUUAGAAAAAUUAUCGAUAAAAAAUUUUCUGAAAAUAUAUUAACGAUUUUAUAUAUUUUUUAAAAUUAUUUAAAAUGAUUUUGUUUCAUUUUAUGAGGAACUUCCAUGGAUGAAUCCUCAAAUUUAACAUACAAGGGAAUACUGUCCAAGAAAAAAAAAAUUGUAUAAAGGAAGUAUUUAUACAGAAAAAAGUAAUGUUUGGUCUUUAUAUCAAUUUUAAAAAAUAUAUUAAAGUAUCUCUUGAGAUUUAAAAAAAAAUUAGUAAUUAAUUUAUGCAUUUCUAAAGAAAAUAUGAUUUGCUCAUUCUCUUUAAAGCUUCCAAAUGGAGCUCCUUAUCAUUGAAAAAAUUUAUUUUUCACUUGUUUAAAAUAAUUAAUUUAAAUUAUUUAAAAUUUUUAUGAGUUAUCAUAUAAAUUUGAUAUAUUCUAAAUCGGUAUUAAAUUAUUAAGAAUUGUGAUUUGAUAAUGUUUUGAGUUGCUCUAUCUCGUUUCACCAAUAUCCUACACACUUUUGUAUUACCUUUCCACUGACGUAUUAAUUUAUGUUAAUGCAGUGAUAUAUAAGCAACGUAUUUUAAGCCCUUUAUAGAGAAUAUAGAAUAUAAUAGAGUAUCCAUCAAUAAUUACAUAUUUGAUUAUUUUAAUAAUUAUAUAUCUGAUUUGACCUAUGAAUGAAUGAAUAUAUAAGCAUACCUUUCAUGCCUGAUUGAGUAAUAGCAAUAAGAUUCUUCAUAAAAAAUUGAGCAAAAAGUAGCAGAAUUGGUCUAUUUUAUACGUAUAUCAAUUGAACUAUAAGGCCAAGCUGACAUAAGUAUUGCGAUGCGAAGAGUUUUGCUUGAAAAAAUAGAAGAAAUAUGUUCACACAUGUAAAAUCUGAUAAAAUACCACACGAAUUUUCUAUUAUGAAAGUUUGAAUUCAAUUCCUAAUGAAUUUUCUAUUAUGAAAAUUUGAAUUCAAUUCCUACGGUGAUUAAUAUAAACGCAAUAAAAAUUUUUAGAGAGUUUUAUAUUUGUGUAUUGAUAAGGGCAACCAAUUCUAAAAAAAUAUAAAUUUAUAUCAAAUUAAAACUAAUAACUAAUUUCAAGUAAUUUUUGAUGAAAAUAUCACUAAAGUCAAGAAAACAUAAAUUUGAAAACAUAUUCGAUUUGACCUAUGAAUAAAUAUGUAAGCAUAUGUUUCAUGCUUCUUUUAAGUAAUAGUAAUAAGAUUUCCCAUGAGAAAUUCCUACAGUGAUGAGUAAAAAAUCUGAACAAAAUUUAAAAAAGGAGUUAUGAGAUGGAAAAGCACAAAUCAGUAGGGCUGAGCAGAAUCCGGUUCAAACCGAAAAAACCGAUCGAACCGAACCGAUUUGAAAAUUUGGUUCGGUUUUUUAUAUAUUUCGGUUCGGUUCGAUUUUAAAUUUCAGAAAUUUUGGUUAUUUCUGUUCGGUUCGGUUUUGAUCAGAAAAAAACCGAAAAAACCGAACCGAACCGAUUAGGAAUAAUAAUAUGUUUUUUCAAUAAUAUAGAGAAAUUAAAUUAUAUUAAAAUUAAAAUAUUUUAAUUAAAUUUUAAAAUACUAAAAAUAAAGUUUAAAAAAUUAAAAAAAUAUUAAAAAUCGAAACCGAUCAAACCGAACCGAAUCGAACCGAAUCAGACCGGUUCGGUUCGAUUCGGUUUCUGAUCAAAAUCGGUUCGGUUCGGUUUUUAUAAAAACUAAAAUUUCGGUUUUCGGUUUAUUCGGUUCGGUUCGGUUUUGAACCGAACCGACCGAAUGCUCACCCCUACAAAUAAGGAGAGAAGCAUGGAAGAGAGACGGAUAGCGAGAGUCGCAUUACCUCUCUUCUCUUCGUUCUCUUAUCAUGUCUCUCUUUUUCAAAUCUCCUAAUUUCACAUAUAAAAAAUUAGGUUAAGACUGAGAGAGACAUGAGAAAGAGAGUUUAUUUCUUUUUUAAUUGUUUCUGUUAUCAUUCAUGAAUUUUAUUUAUUUUUUUUAUAAUUUAAAAUAUAUAUUUUAAAUUUUUUGUAAAGGUAAUGUUACAUGUCAUGUUAUAAUAUGAUGACCGUUAGAUUUUUCCAUCCCGUUAUGAGGCCGGGCCGAUAGUGGCAGCCCACAAUCGAAGGCUCCUAAACCCCCCCGAAUAAGCCAGGUCUGGCUUUGAACAAGAAACUCAAACUCUGCCGAGCACAAAUUUUGAUUAAGGACUUCGGCAGAGUUCGUAGAUCGGAGCACCGAGAGGUCGGUGGGUUGGGAUAGCAACGUUGGAAAAAGCCCGAGCUGCCAAAGAUAUGUCGACCUAGUGAAGAAGUUGCUAAUAAAGAGGAUUGCUAGCCUGGCCGAACUCCAACAAGCGAGGUCGACACGACGCCACCUGUCAAUGCAGAUAGAUGGACAUGAAAGGCAUGCUUCGCAUGUAAAUAGUAAGACUAAAUUUAAUUAAAAUAUACCUCUAUGAGUUUAGAUAUCCUGAUAAUAGCUUAUAUUUUAUAGAUUGAAAAAUUCACGCAUGCAAAUAUUGUUUAUUGAACUUUUGAAUGGCAUGAGUUAAUAUUGUUAGUUAGAGCAAAUAGUUACGUUCAUCUGAAAUAUGAAACUAAGUGACACGUGCGACAUAUUAUUGAUGAAUGUUAUUGAAUUAACAACGAGCAUCCUCGUUAUAUACGCUCUGUGCAAGCUUUCAUUUUGCAAAAAAAUCCUGAAUCUCACUCAAAGACCUCAGGCAAACACAAGACUGGGAUUCCAAAGAUCUCCCGGAGCAAAAACGGCAGGCGAAGAUCUCAAAGAUCUCCCGGAGCAAAAACAGUCGGCGAAGAUCUCAAAGAUCUCCCGGAGCAAAAAAACGGCCGACGAAAAUCUCAAAGAUCUCCCGGAGCAAAAACGGCCGGCGAAGAUCUCAAAGAUCUCCCGGAGCAAAAAACGGCCGGCGGGAUCCCCAAGAUCUCCCGGAGCAACAGAGACCGGGAUCACCAAAGAUCUUCCGGUGUCACAUGCUCACAGCAAACAGCGGUAUAUAAUGACAACACGCAAAAACAACUCAUAAGAACAUAGUUCCGACCUCACAUAAAAUAUUGGGGCACGGGACCAUAAAUGAAAAGCUAAACUCCGAUCUCCCAAAGGAGCUCGAGUCAUAAGGUAAAGAGACUUUGAUCUCGCACAACAGCCAAAAGCGCCAAAGUGCCAUGCUGACCUCAAGAGGGUGCUGGAAUAGAAAUAAAAGAAUUUGAAUCCGACCUCUCAAAAGAGCUCGGAUCAUAGGCUAAUAAGACCUCGAUAUAGAAAUAAAAGAAUUUGAAUCCGACCUCUCAAAAGAGCUCGGAUUACAGGCUAAUAGGACCUCGAUCUCGCAAAGUAACCAGCAUAUAACGAAAUUAAACUAAGUCGCCCCAGCGCCUGUAUCGUGUAACAAUGUGACUUGCUAAAGGCCGAUGCAACGCUCACGGCGCCAAAACGCCAAAGCACCAUGCCGAUCUCAAGAAAAUGAGCUCGGUACUGGUAAACCCAAUAGGCAGACCGAAUUAAGGCGAGGCAAAUCCUAAGCAAAAUGCAUACCAAAAUACAGAGCCAAACAAAGAAUCAGGGGUAAUCAUAAGAGACACCGACCUUGAGAAUUGACCGCUAGCACUAAACCAGCUCAACUAGCCUAGAGAGAGGUCUAAACAGCAAAGAGCCCGCAAAACGCUCGAGGGUAGACAGCCCAGAAAACACUCGGGGGCAAAAAACCCAACUAACCAAUACAUACACGAGAGCCAAAUGCUCAGAUAAAGAAUCAAGGAGGCAGGAGCUAUGUAAAAAGCCAAAUAAACAAUUCUAGAAGACCGAAUGGGGCAGUAGAAAGCCCUGACUCAUUAGGAUACAAAAGAAUCAAACCGCAGUAUGGUCAAGUCCAAAAUAGAUAGUCCGACCUCUUCAAUCCAGGGCCGAUCUCUCCAGAAGCUUGGAGGGGCCUCAUAUCUGGACCGACGAGGCUACAAGUUUAUAAAAGAAAAAGUUGAAACCAAACAAACAAGCAGUCAGACUGAGACAUAGCCCAUAUAAGGCUCAACAAGAAAUUAAGUCCGACUUCACAAAAUAGCUCGGGGCACCAAAGUGAAGAAAGUGAAAUUUCGAACUCCUGAGCUCGUGAUACAAGCAGCGUCACAGGCUAUAGGCGUAAAAGCCUAAGCAAAAAGCAAAUAACCGAGCUCCCAACUCGGAUGAACUCGCAACACUGACGAGAUAGUAAGUCAAAAACAGAAAUGCCCUCAUGAGAAUAAGAAAGACUCGCAAGUCAGAAGCUUAACCAGACUCCGAGCUCUUAGCCCGGAUCAGUUUGGCUAGCAAAGUCUCAGUAGAGCCGGCCUGGUCCAUCAAUUAAGUAGAAAUUUACAAGCCAGAAGCCAAGUCUUUGGCUAAGCUUUCAGCCCUGAUUAGCUUAAAAGCAAGCGGUAAGGGACUGUGUACUCAAUUCCUCAUAAGUUAGGGGGAAUAGCGUGAGUAUUUCAUUCUGAAAAAAUUUGCACAAGUUGUGCUUGAAAUAGUCUAGAUAGCUCGGUAGAGUAUGAAAAAACAGACAAAGGCAAAAACAAUAUAAGCAUAAGCACAAGACAGGAAAUAACUCAGGUAUGAACAUGAAAAAGAGACAGAAAUAAAUUUUCAUUAAAAGAGAAGUAUUACAGCCUAUUCACAUCAUCUACGCAGAAUAGGGGGAAGACCGUCCUUAAAGGACUUACAUGCCUAGGGGCGCUAUCAUCUACAUAAUCUGCAUUCAUAAUAUUUACAUUGCUGAUGGUGAAAGGCUCAGCGCCCUCUUACUCAGACCUCCCAGUACCCUCAAAAGAGGAUUCAAGCCGGAUAAAAGAGAACCUUCAACGACAACAGAUGGGAUAUAACACUUGGCAAAUUCAGUAACAUUGUCACCCCUUCUGCUUAUUUAAAGCAGCACAAUAAAGUCAGUAAAGCGUUCUGAAGGGAAAUGGAACAAGUAAAUGUUGCAAACCUACACGCAUACUAUGUUAGACUAAUCUUAGCAAAUUACCCUUGCUUCCUGGUUUAAACAUAGCCGUCAACGCAUUGUCCCUACUUGCAUAUUUGUAAGCUAAACUUUGAAUAUCACGGAACACAUAUCGGAAAGCGUCAACAGAAGCUUGACUGAGUGCAGCAAAUCUCUGUUUCUUAUAGCACAAGCGCUCUACAUCAACAUGAACAGCAGACUGAUCAUCUUCGCCAUUCCCAGCAAGGAAAUCAUGACACGAAUCUACCAUGAACUGCUUUAUGAUACAUGUGUGAGCCGCAUCUUGUAUUCCAUAAUAAACUUCAGAAAUCAUGUUAUUUCCUGAAUUUAAGUCAGGAGCAGACAUCAGAGGUAUCACGGAAGUGUCCUUUUUCUUCUCAAGAGGAGGGAGGACAGGAGCCGGUCUCCUAGAAGCCCGGAACUUCUUUGGAAUGGGAACCGGGGCAGGCGCUUCGGCAGGGGUAGGAUGCUUGCCCUCGACCUCCUCCGCUACACCCCCGCUAUCUGCAUAACCGGACUCCCUCUCCUCUGUGACCUGAACACCCUCGAUUGGGGCCCCCUGAACAUUCCCCGCAGGGGGGAUCUUAGUUUCACUUGCAGGGACCUUCACCUCAGCUGUGGAGGUCUCGAGUCCCUCUCCAAAAGCAUCGCCAGAGGGCAAGGCAGGCUUCGUCGCCGUCAACCCGGAUUCCUCGCCCGGUCUCGAAGUCCGUGGAGACCUAGGGGCUUAAACAGCUUGAGUGGCCGAGCCCGGCUCGCUGCAGCUUGACGACCUAGAAGAUUUAGCACCUCGAGGGCCCGGCUUUGGAGCUCGGGCAGGAGCCGGGGAAGGAGGCCGGCAAGACGACCUGGACGGUCCUACUUCGGCCACCUGUUGGGGAGUUUCCUCCAUCGAUCGCCCCGCUAGGAAGGCGCCCGAGGCAGUAUUCAUGUCUUACCAGGACAGCGCAAAAUUCUUAGGGGGCUUAAUCUGAUCCAUUUUCAUUUCAGAAGCUGCAAAAAACCCAAAAACUGGACAAGUCAGAAGACUUCUCAGCGAAAAUCACAAAAGCAAGAUUAAAACAGGCCUCCAUGAGGGGCAAGGUAAUAAAAUCUUCGGCUCGCCUGAACCUUCCUGAAGAAGGCGAUGGACAGACUCAACGUGGGUGUGAACCCCCAGCUCAGACAGACAGAUUCGAAUGAAAACUAGGAAAAAAUGGAAUUAAGGACAAGCCAUAUUCCCUCUGCUUAAUGAAGAAAAUCAAACUCACAUCUGUUUGAGGGUUGACUAAAUGAUGCUAAACUCUAGGUUAACGACAUUUGAGAGAUUAGAGCUAUCCCUGGUAAAAGAAGAAACGUACCAUAAAAAUAAAGACAGGGGAACGAAGAUAGCAGCGUGCACGAAUGACAGAGGAAAACUGGAACUGGAAGAAGACGGAGAAAAUCUGGAAAUCGAAAAGAUGAUAAGGUGAAAGGGUGUUCUGAAGCAAACUGUAUUUAGAUGACGCGGUCAUAAUAAUUCUCGGUAUUUAUCCCCUCAUCAGUCAGGCAAUAACUGAUGAGAAGGUAAAGGGGCAUUUGAUGACAGCUGGAUUUCUCCAUCCCGUUACGAGGCCGGGUCGAUAGUGGCAGCCCACAAUCGGGAGGCUCCUAAGCCCCCUGAAUAAGGCAGGCCCAACCCGUUCAUCCUCCAGACCGGACUCCUAUUUAAGUAACUUAAUCAGGCCGGCCCGGCCCAUUUCAGCCUUAAAGCAACGGAUUCAGUCAUUUCGCAGUCCUGUCCACUCGCGCGCCGAAAGGAAUUAAAUGGUUGCCUGACACAGAAAUGGCCCAGGGGUUAUCCGUACGUACAGACCUGCACCAUAGGGUAGGUGGCCCUAUAGCGGAGAAGUCAUCUCGCGUGAGGGGGAAAGGAGAAUAAGAGGAAGGAAACAUUCUCUUUGAGGGGGCUUUUUCUACAUUCACAAAACCCUGAUAAAAGAUAUUUUUUCAAGAUCUCAAAGAUCAUCAUAAUAUAUUAUCUACAAAACUAAUCUGACAUAAGUUUCACGUCAAUAUAUUACAUUAGACUUACAUCAUCAAAUAAAAUUAAAAUCAAUAUAUCACCCAAUAUCAUUAAUACUUUUUACUUUUAGAAUGCUAAUGAUAUAAAAAUAUAUCAUUAUUUAUAAUAAAAUAAUUAAAGGGACAGAUAGUGUAGAAUAUUAAAGUAGAUAUUGCCCUAAUUAAUAUUUAAUUUAGAGGGCAAUUCAUUUCUAUACUUAAUUUAUGAUGGAUCUAAAUUAAUUUCAAACAUUUUUUAAGAGAAAAGAAAGAGAAAGGUGAUUGAAAAGUCGUCGGAUUAAAGGCUUUUUUACUUCUUUCUAAGUUUGUUGUGUUUUUUUAGUGGUUUUUCGAGUGUUAUAGUUCUUCUUCCCUUGCCUUUGGGCAAGACAAAAAUUAAUGUUUUAGUUUCUUUUUGAGCCGCCGCCUUCUGAUUUCUCUAAUUGGUUUUGUUUAUUUGCAGUUUUAUUUUAUUUUUCUCUUUUCUUGUUUUUAUAAGUUCUGUUUUAUAUUUGUGAGCAUUUAUUAUUGAACCUGGUUUGCUAUAAUGAGAAAAGACCAUUUAGCUUUUGAGGAGGGUUUGAAUUUUUAUUGAAUCUAGUUUGCUAUAAUAAGAAAAGACCAUUUAGCUUUUGAGGAGAGUUUGAAUUUCGGUGAUACUUAUAUUUUGGGACUACGCCACUAUAUCCGACGCCUUCACUCUCAUACACUAUAUUUAGUUAAACUCAGAAACAUUCUCUCUUCAUUUUAUUUAGACGAUUACAUUUUUUUCUAUUUUAAAGGCCUUUUUCAACUUUAUUUUCCUCGUACAUAUUGUUAUUGGUGUAGUUGUAGUUAAUGUUUAUUUUAUCUUUUGAUUUUUUUAUAUUAGAAUUGUUAUCUUUUUUGUUUAUGUGUUUUUAUUGUCUUCGAUAUUCUAUACUUUAUUCUUUUGAUGACUAAAAAUUUAUCGGUUCAAAUUCAAGUAAUAUGGUUUGAGUUGAGUUUGAUUUAAUUGGUUUAUUUGCUUUGAUUUAAUUUGUUUUGUUUAAAUUUAUUUUGGAUGUAAUUUUGGGCUGAAAUCUUUAUUUUUUUAAAAUUUUGAUAAAAUCUUAUUUGCAGAAAUCUUUCAAUAUUUUCUAUAUCUAAAUUAAAUAGCAUUUAUUAGUAUUUUUUUUUGCAAAAAAAACAAAUAGAUUACUAUUUUUAGUUUUUAUGUAAUCUUACGCAAUCUCUAUCAGAGGAGUUAUCGUCCGCUCAUCGAGAGGAUUUGUCUGAACCUGGAACGUUGUAAUAGAAUUACAGUCAUCAAUGAGAUCAAUCUCAAUGAUUUCAUAGAGCAAAAAAGGUAAAGUUUAGAAAUAAUAUAUAAUUUAGGUAUUUAUAUAUAAUAAUAAUAAUAAUUUAAAUAAUAAUUACGUUUUUCAUAUAAUAGAGUUGAGAUUUGUAUAAGAAUUUAGAAAAUUUUAAUUAUUGCUUAUGAUAAAUAAAUAAUAAUAAUAAUUAUUAUUAUUAAUUACGAAAGCUUCUUCGAAGCAAAAUUAAUACACGAGUCUCUAAUUCUAACACGUUUAAGGAACACCCAGGCGCGUAUAUAUCUAAAACUUGUGCCGGCCUGACUAGUCAAAGACCGGCCGCUCCCACUCGACGACCUUGCGGGUCAUAUAUCCUUUUAAGACAAUCCAACCAUACAUUUCCACGUAAUCAUAUAAAAUUGAACAUUCCAAUUGCUACUCCAUUUCCAUUAGCCCGUCAUUUUAUCAAAGUCACAGUCACACGCAAACUGUUCCCCCAAAUAAAAUCUCCGUUUCUUUGGUCCUAUUUCUCUCCUAUUUCUCUCCAACUUCCUCUUUUCUUUGCUUCUCCAUAUUUAUAUCCUCUCUUGUUUCCUCCAUUCUCAGUCCAAUUUUGCAUACUUUCAUCUCUCUCUCUCUCUAAUGGCGACGCCCUACUCACCAAUAAUGGAGCAUGAUUAUGAAGAAGAGAGGUCUACACCAAGUGGGUGCAAUUGCUUUCAGCUCUUCUCCUUCAAAUGGCAUCAGAACGACAAUGAAUAUGAAGAUAGAUAUCUUCUGAACCAGCAGAGGGGAGAAAAUCAAAAUGGAGAAUCAUGGGUGGCGAAUCAACUGAAGAAGAUGAAGGAGGCUUCAGAGGUUGUGGCAGGACCAAAGUGGAAGACUUUCAUUAGGAAGGUCAGUGGAUAUAUGAAGAACAUGAAGAAACAAAAAAAUAAUCAGUUCCAAUAUGACCCAGAAAGCUAUGCUCUUAAUUUUGAUGGUGGUAAUGGUAGAGAAGAUGAUGAUUUGCUUCUUCCUGUUUUCUCUUCAAGGCUUGCUUCUGCAGAGCAAAAACGACAGGAUGGGUUGUGAUUUUAGUGUUGUUCUGCAUUCAUCCAUGGUUGUUUCAUUGAUUUCUUGUGUGUAAAGCGAUUUGAUUAUUAUAUUGGCAAUUUUUUUAAAAAAAGUUUCAGAGAACCCCAGUUUUCAAUUCAUCAGGAGUUGGGUUUGUUCAAUCUUUCACUUUUUUUACAUUCAGAAGAAUCUCGGCUGGCGGUAGUCACUAUCAAACUGUGCUUCAAAGAUUGCAUAAGAAACUUUGAAAAUUCAAACCAAAAUAAAAGAUAAACUCUUCAACACUAAGCAUUGGCUUCAAGAAAUACUCUGAAAUUGGAAAUUUUCUAACAAUGUUCAAAACAAGUAAUCUUCCACAAGUUUCAGGAAGCAGCAAUAAAUAUCCUGAGGAAUGCUUAUUUAAUAGGGAAACGUAUUUAGAAAAGUUAUUAAAGAAUUAUUGUACAAGAAUAUGAAUCCAAACACAUUAAGAUAAAACAGAUUUCAGAUCAAGUCACAAUUCAUCAAGAUUUCAUAAUAAUUCAAUUCAAUUAAUUUCUUUUUAAUAAUUUUCUUUGAAUUGAAAUCUUAUAUGAUUUCGUAAUAAUUUAUUUAAAUUCUUUUCUUACAAAACGCAUCAUACCAAACAUAAGGUAUUGAAUUUAGGGGAAGAAUUCAUUUCUUUUUGGUAGGGUAAUCAUGGGUUGAUUGUUCCUCCCAAAUCCAAUGAAGUUUCUUCCAUAUCAUCAAAGGAUCAAAUGGCUAGAACAGAUAAAGGCUAGCUUUCUUCCUACUCUUACAAGUUGUGAGCAGACAACUUCAAAUUAUAAAACAGAUGUUCUCAUCACAGAUAUAUAUAGGAGCACAAACCAAAUACUACAAAGUUACAGGCCUGUGGCACAAAAAUAAGCUAUUUAAACAAUCUCAUGUGCUUGUUGUUUAAAAAAACAAGGAUAUAUGUAUAUAUAUGCAUCAGCAUGUCUUCAACUAUAUACUUGUCAACUGGACUUAACAGGUGAGCUGCUGAGUUUAAUCCAUCUCUCAGAAUAGCAGCCUACUUUACCGUGAUUUAAUGUUCCUGUAUAGCCAAGUGGGGGAAAUCGAAAUAGAAAUUUUAAGCUACGCGUAUACGUUGAUUCUUUCUCGUUGCAGUGGAUCUGAUGUGAUGAACUUCUCCAGUCAAGGAUAGCAAAUGUAAAGUCCUCCACCAAGUUUUCCCAUUUAUCCGCCACUUAUUUCACCUGCAUUGCUUGUUUUCCCCGAUAAAAUUGGCAAAAGGUUCGAACAAAUUUCAAAUAGAAGAGAAAGAGAAAUAUACUGCAACAGUCUGCUUACUUCUUGCGCUUGCUCUUCGUAGUAGAUCCUGAAGGAUUGCUAUGCCAGUUCCUUUUUCUUUGGUUUAUGAACCAGUUGUUUAUCUGCUUUAACUGCAAUCCUGUUUCCUGAACCAGCCUUGCUUUGUCUUCCUCCUAAAACAAAUCAAAGCAGACAACAGUUUGAGGAACUACCGAAGAAAACACGGACAAAAGAACAUAUAGGACAUUACAUUAUACGUACAGUUGGAUAUGGCCACUUAGAGUGCGAUUGCCACCAAGCUUUUAAGAGGGAGGUGGUAUCUCCCGGCAAUUUUCCUGCCCUUCUUUUACGUAGAAUCUCCUCUCUAAUAUCCACAAUCUUCUCUUUGUAACCCUGAAAAGUAAAAGGCGGCUGAGACGCGCUAUUUUUGCACGCCAUAUCAUACCAAAGAAUAUUAUGUAAUUUUUUACCUGUUUCAGUUCAUGCUUUAAUUCUUUCCUUACAUGCUCCAUCAAUGAUCUCUCAGUUUCAGUGGGGACAAGAGGACCAAAUCCCAUGUAAUCUGCCCCAUCCAGACCUCCAUCAUAUAAGUUGGUGUCACUAUCUGCCUGGUCAUCAUCAUCAUCAGACAUUGUUGCACCUGUGCCUUCACCCAGGGAUGCACCUGCCAUAUAUCGUGAUUAAGUUCUGAGCUCAGAAUUCCGAUCAGAGUCCUCAAGUAAAUGCAAAAACAUAGCAAAGAUGAAAAAGCGAGAAAGAGAUAGGAUCUUUAACCACUUCUUUGACUCACAGAAGCCGAUAUAUGGAGUCCGCAGCUCAAGCCAACUUUCUAUGGCAUGUAUUUUAAGGCUUUGCAACAAAAGACAGUUUUACCUAUUAUUGAUAAUGACAAUGAAGCAAAAGAAAGCCAUUGGAGAAUAUAUAUCAUGAUACUUGCACAAAAGCAUAUCUCAAACACCUUCACAAUCCCAAUCCCAACACCAUAACCCCAUAUACAAGACAGCCAAGCACUUGCUAACAUCCUUAAAUUUUACGCUACAUUUGAGACUUAAACUGGAACUUCUUUAUAAUCCAUGAUUUGAAUACACCAACCUAGUCUCCAACUCUUCAUCGGUACCAAAACCAGACUAUCAAUAUUGAUAAUAAACUUAGUAUAUUUGAAUAUAAUAUGAAAUCAGAUGUUAUAAAUUUUUGGAUUCAAAAGCAAGUAUCUAAGACUCGGGGAAAACAACAGUGAUAUACAGAGGCAAGGAGUGUAUGGAAUCUGAGUGUUUGUAAAAACUAGCAAUGUUAAGAGCGAAAGAGCAAAAGGAGCAACCAAAAAGAAGCAGCAUGAUUCCUGAAGAAUUACAUCGAGAGAGAUAAACUAACAAAGUUCUUUCCUUUUCCAACAUCCAGCCCAACAAACCCAAUGUGAACUUACUUUCGUUCAUAGAGAAGAGGGAUGAGGGAAAAAUUACCUGUUAAGCUUUGCAAAGAUUGCUCAAGCUCCCAGCAAGCCAUUACAGCCUCCAUAGCAUGAACUCGAACGUGUUGUUGCAAUUGGUCUUUAAAGGAACAGAGUAAUAGAACAUAUUGUGUCUACAUCAGAAGCGGGGAAAAGUGGAAGAGUAAGGAGAUUUAGUUGAAACUAACAAAAUUGAUAACAUAUGAGCAUUUGAAUUAGAAGAAAGGGUAAAAGAAUGUAAUUGUAUAUGCAUGCAUCAUGAAAAAUUUACCUUUUAUAGAACUUGUAAAAUCAUUGAGUUUGAGAUGAAUCUAAACAAUGAGCCAACCAUGUUACUAUCGCAGGAACUCGCCAUAACUACUCGCUCAAUUUACAAAAACAAAGGAAAAAGGGAGGACAGAUAGGCUGUGGAAGUGAUAUCAGUCAAUAUUCACCAUCAUCACCAUAAAACCUCAUAUAUAGUAAACAAGAGAGGAAGUCAUCUUCCACCUUGAUAUCCUUAUUAAGAUCUCUAUAUAUAAAUUUGUUAAUAAAUUUUAUUUUUUAAAUUAAAAUUAAAUAAUGAAAAAUAAGUUAUCUCGUUGGAAAAUAUUUUUCAUGGGAAACAUUUUCCACGAGAAAUAUUUUCCAAAUACAGGUUAUUUUUCACAAAACAAACGAAGUCUUAGUUUUAAAUUUAUAUUAAUAGAUUAAGUAACAAUCUUCCAAAUAAAAUUUAGUUUAAAUAAGUAGAAAAUUUUAGUUUCAAUGAAAAGGUUCUCUCUCUCCAUCUCUCCUCUCCUUCAUUCUUUCUUCCCGAAAAGAAAAAAAUUGGAUAGCGUAGUUGCAUUCCUUGCUCUACAGUGGCUAAACCAGCCCUACAGUAAAAUGAAUAUUGUGCAACUGACCAUUAAUCAAGAAGAUAAAGAUGCUUCAUCUUUAUCAAUCCACUUUGAUAUGCAGUGAAAGGCCACUUUCAAUGGUGACCCAUGAAAACAACUCUGUACCAUCAGUUCCUUUAAACUUAUGAGCUAUGAAUUCAUGAUGCUCACAUUUGUUGGUAAGUCAAAUUCUUAUACUUUAGGAACACUUCUUUCAAAGAAACAUCAGGGCAAAGCUUCAUUAAAUAUGGCAGUUUCUGAGACAGAUUAUAUUCUCAAAUUAAUUGAGAGAAAU
rnacentral:lncRNA from 1 species